AAGAGUUCAGGGAUCUUCAAGCUUGCCUUGAUGAAGUGAAGACGAAACUCCAAUCUGGUCCCGUGGCUACCUAAGUAUCAGGAACGUGCUAUUUUUGAAUAUCAGGAAUGUGCUAUUAUUUUAGUUCGUACUGUAGUUGAGACCUUAACCAUGACUGAAUAUCUUGUAUUGCUGUACCACCUUUUCUGUAACAAAACAGUCUAGUUUUAGUAUUUUUAUUAUUUUUGUAUUUUCAGUGCUGUAACUAAUCUCAUUUGACAAUGUAAAUAUAUGGCUUCAAGUUAUUUAAAUGUAAAAUCAAGUGUUGUUUUCAACCUCUGUUCUUUUAUGUAUAGCUUACAUGCCGUGAUUUCAUUAACCUCAAUUUAAGGACAAUUUCAUAUCUUUUUUCUUUCUGCUUUUCUUUUAUCAUUUAAGAACAAAUAUGAAUAUAUUUCAGACAGCAUUUAAACAAAGCAACCGAACGUCGCUGGUUUCUAUUAUUACAUUGACAGCAAUAAAACAAAGAAGCAACUGAAAGUUAUCUUCAUAUGAGAAUGAAAGCUUUUCAGCAGCAUAACACUAUUCAUUUCCAAACGAGUUCCUCAACAUGAGAACAAAUUCGUAGACCUUUUCUGGGUCUGGAAGGAUCCUGGCAACAGUUUCCCUUUGCAUGCACUUGUUCAUCCAAGCGGAGAAUUUGGGGCACUCAUUCGCAUCCUUAAAUCACCCAAAUUUCUCAACCGCGUAAAACCAACAAAUUUCUCAACCCCCAAAUUUGGGACAUCAACGAAUCCAAAGCUAUCCCCGCCAAAGAAAUCCUUCUCCCCUAAAGCUCCCUCUAGUUGCUUCAAUAUCUCUAUAAAUUCAUUCUUUGCCGUCUCCUGUGUUUUAAAAAAUCUAUUGUAAUGGAUCUAUUGUAAAUUUAUCUAACUGCUUGUUAUAAUGCUUCUAUUGCGGUGUUAUUCGAGUUGUCAUUUUCAGUUUUAUUUUAUUUGUUCUUUAAACAUAGUUAAUUUGAAAUGUUCUUUAAUAUCCAUUACACUUGAGAUCAUCAAAUAAGUGAUUCUUGAAUAUAAUUGCUGUUGUUACUCGAAUAAGAAAAGAAAACAAAAAAUAGCUAAGGUAAAAGUAAAUGGAAAUGAGAGCAACGUGAUUUUGCAAAGAGAACUUCACACUAUCAUAAAACCGAAAACAUUACAAUUUAAAGCUUUAAUAACAACACAUCAAAGUCAAAUAACGACCCACUAGAAUCAUGGUCCAAAGAUUGUGCCAUGAUCACAACAUGAACUACAAAAAAAUAACCAACACCAGAAAAGUAGGAACAGUUUGAAACUUUCAACUAAGCAGCAUUUAUGAUUCCACAUCAGCAGCCCUAAACACAUCUUCUAACAAUCGCAACUGCUCAUUUUUGCUUCUGCCAAUAAAGAGUUGAUUGUAACCAAAGAUUGUUGUCUUUAUUGUCAUUUGAGAGUAACAAAUUACUUACGCAGUCACGUAAGUUGUUGGUUGGCCUCGCACAUUUUUGAGAAGUUUGUUUCUGAAGGAAACCAGCUGAGCCGCAACCUCUUCCAUGCUCAUUCGUUCUCUCGGCAACUCUGAAGAGCAAAUGGCUCCGAUUCCCAGUACGGAAACCAAGCACUCUUUACCACUAAAACUUCUGGUCCAUUGUUUGUGAGCAUUGGCGUUGCUUUUCUCCCCUUCUUCUCUUUCUACAAGAAGCACUGGAUCAACAAUUUCAGCGAGUCUUUCAGGAAGAGCUUCCUUGACAAAAUUAUGUAGGGUUAGAUUGCCUGUAAACAUUUCAUUCGUCGGCCUCUUUCCUGUAAACAUUUCCAGCAAGAGUAUUCCAAAACUGUACACAUCUCCACUUGUUGAGACUUCGCUCCCCAUUCCGUACUCUGCAAUUCGAAAACUAAAAUUGUUGGUUCAACUAGUAAAAUCUCAAAGGAUUGAAAGACAAGUUAAUUAAAUAAUAGUAAUUACCUGGAGCAGCAUAACCAACGGUUCCUUUUACUCCAACAGAGCUUGAUUGAUUAGAUGACAAGUUAUUGGUGGCUUCCGGAAGGAAUUUUGCUAAUCCAAAAUCACCUACAUGGGCAGUCAAUUCACUAUCCAGAAGAACAUUGCUUGGCUUGAGAUCACAAUGGACUAUUGGAGUUUCGCAAUAAUGAUGAAGAUAAUCCAAUGCAGAAGCAACAUCAACGGCAAUACUCAGUCUUUGCAGGAGAUUUAGAUUCUUAAGUGCCUCACGGUUUGGAUGCAACCAUUCCUCCAGGCUUCCGUUAACCAUGAACUCAUAAACUAAAGCCUCGAAAUCAUUUCCUUGGAAGUCAACACUUGCACAGGAAGUUAUUAUUUUGACGAGAUUCCGAUGCCUAAUAUUUCUCAAGGCCUGACACUCCGCUAUGAAACUCUUUGAAGCUCCUCGAUGUUGAAGAUUAAGCACCUUAACUGCCACCAGCGUUUCAUGAUCAUCAUGAUUGAGGACUCCUUUAUAGACCGAACCAAAGCUACCGGCACCAAUCAAGUUUUCCAAAGAGAACCCGUCAGUUGCUUUGAACAGAUUCUCAUAGGACACUCGUAAAACCGAAGCCAAGAGAGCUGAUGGAGGAGUGGCCGGCUUCCUUUUUGAUUUGCCCCGCCAGGAAGUAAUUAUCAAACACGACAUCCCUGUUACUAACAAAAUUCCUGUAACAACAGGAAUAAUCAGUUUCAGGAAACGGGAACGUGAUUGCAUUGAUUCUUUGAUGGAACAAGUAGAUAAAUGCAACUCAGAUAUGCCACCACAGAGGUUAUCAUUUCCGUCAAGAGAUAUAGCACUCGAAUUGCUGAAGACUCCUUUUAUUGGUACUUCACCCUCAAAAUGAUUAAAAGACAGAUUUAAAUUCUGCAAAAAGGGAAAGUUUUCCAGAUAUUUUGGAAUUCGGCCAGACAAAUUGUUCCUCGAAAGAUCAAGAUUCUCAAUGCCUCUCAAAGAACUGAAUGAUGAAGGGAUAUUCCCUUGAAAGAAAUUACCAUUCAUGAUGAGUUGUACCAACAUAAUGCAACUUCCUAUACUGCUUGGAAUUUCACCAGACAAUUUGUUCUCCGAUAUGUCUAUAAAACCCAGAUUUUUCAAGAUACCAAAAUUAGAGGGCAAAGGACCAUUCAAAUGGUUUUGAGAUAGAUCAAGAUAGAUUGACAAGGAAGAGAGGCCAAUCACUUCAGUGGGUAUGGUACCACUGAGGUUGUUAUUGGAGAGAUCUAAUAAUAUCAAGUUUUGGCAUUUCCCUAGACUUGAUGGAAUGUUUCCCUCUAACAUGUUUUCCGCAAAAUCUAGUAUAGCUAACGAUGUCAAAUUUCCUAUAGAAGAUGGAAUUUCCCCCCAAAACUUGUUCCCCAGAAGCCACAACGUCUGCAGCUUAUGAAGAUCUCCUAUACUUCCCGGAAUUCGGCCUGUGAAUUGGUUGCCCCCAAGGUGUAAAAGCUCUAAGUUAACAAGAUUUCUUAAUCGAUUUGGGAAAUUUCCGAACAACUGAUUGUUUCCAACUAUUAAUAUUCUAAGUCGGGUUGACAAGUUCCCCACAGCUUCAGGUAACAUUCCACCAAAAUUGUUGUCACUAAUUUGCAGUAGCUCUAGUCUGGAAGCGUUGACCAAAGAAUUGACAAAUUCCAAGUCAUCCUUUUUCCCAUUUCCUAAGUGAUUCAGAUAAAAACUAACCCAUUGGAGUUUAUGUAAAUUUUCCAAACUAGGCACCUUUCCACUGAAUCCAUUCAUUGGGAUUGUAAGUCUCAUUAGAUUUGAGGCAUUGGAUAUUGAAGCAGGAAUAGGCCCAGUAAACUGAUUACCACCAACGUUUAAUCGUUCAAGAUUAGGCAGAGUGAAGCCUAAGUCUGAUGGAAGGCUUCCUUGAAGUUGGUUAUGAGGGAAAUCCAAAUAAUUAAGCGAAGACAAGUUGUAGAUUGAGAAAGGGAUUUCACCUGAUAGCUUAUUUACUCCCAAUAAUAUAUCACGCAUCCUCUUUAGCUGACCCAGUGUUUCAGGAAUUUGUCCCACAAAUUGAUUUGCAGCUGCUGAGAGGACCUCGAGUGAUGACAAAUUGCCCAAGGAAGAUGGGAUUUCUCCCGAAAAAUUGUUGUAGUGUACUGUGAGCAUCCGGAGCUUUGAUAUGGAGCCUAGUAACCCAGGAACUUUCCCCACAAGCUCAUUGACGCCUAACCUGAGGGAUUCAAGGUUAACGCAAUGCGAUAUGUUGUCAGGAAUUUGACCUCCGAAUGUAUUGUUGUUCAGCUCCAAAAUUCGUAACCUGAACAGAUAUCCAAUCUCUUGAGGGAUUUCGUUGCGGAAGCUAUUGUUUUUGAGAUCUAACACUCUGAGAAAACUCAAAUUACCAAUGUGAGGCGACAGAGACCCCUGCAAGAGUAAAGAUGGAAGACGUAAUCCAGUCACCCUUUGGUGCCGUCGACUGCAAGUGACACCUUUCCAUUGACAAAAGUGCCUGGAAUAGUUCCAUGAUCUCAAAACCUCAAGAGGGUCAUGAGUAACUUUGGCCUUGAAUUGAAGCAAUGCAAGUUGAUCAGUUUCAUUGCUUUUGAGCAUAUAAUCGGUUGAUUGCAAGCUGAAGCUGAAGCAACAUAAAAUAAAGAAACAAAUGCUUACAAUGAUUGAACUCAUCAUGUUUACAAAAUUCAUUUAACUGCCGAAGGAAAUUAAAAUGAUAAAACUUUUAUAGAGGUUUGUAAGAUAAAAUAUGUUUGUAUAUAUUUUGCAAUGAUUUAUGGACUCUGUCUUUGAUGCUCAAAUGUGAACCAGGUGGCACCGUGACAGUGAAACUAAUACUUUUUCUUUUUCUAAUAAUAUUAAUUAUCAUAUUUAUUACUAUUGUAAGAAUAAUAUACUGCAGCUUUAAAGAAAGACUCACCAUACUCUCUUUUGAGUUUAAUCACCAAUAUUGAAAAGGAAAAAAAAAGUAGGGCAAGAGAAAGGUAAAUACGAUGGGUGGAGUGUUAAGACUACUGUUAAAUGAGUUGGGAAACGUUCAAAGCACGAUGGGAAUUAAAGAUUCACAACACCUUUUUUCUAAAAUUUUCAAUACAGUCUCCCCCAAAAUUUGCUAGUGCAACAAAGAGACGUCGCGCCGUUAACAAUUUUAAACUGUAAAUGACAUGUCGUUUUCACAGAAUUCGUUUAACUGCCGGAGGAAAUUGAAAUUAUAAACUUUUAUAAAGGUUGGUAAGAAAAAAUAUACUUGCACAUAUUUUUUUUUCAAUGAUUUAUGGACGCUGUACUUGAUGCUGAAAUGUGAACCGGCUGGCACCGGGACAGUGAAAUUAAUGCUUUUUGUUUUUCUAAUAAUAUUAAUUAUCCUUUUCCUUUAAGGAAGACCCGCCACACUCACUUUUGACGCUCUAUCAGUUUCCAGCAUGUUGUCGUUUUGUAUUUUAGUGCAUUAAAGAAAUCCACAAUGAAUAUAAAAUAAUUUAAUCAACAGUAUUAGAAAAAGAAAAAAAGUAGGAUAAGAAAGUUAAGUAUGAUGGAUGGAGUUUCACAUUUCUGUUAAAUGACUUAGGAAAUGUUUAAAGCACCACAGGAAUCAACGUUUCACACGCUUUUUAGAUUUUUUUUCUAAAAGGAAAAAGAUAUUCUCACGAAAGAAAGUACAAAAUUUCACACAAAACGGUGCAUUUAAAUAAAGUAAAAUUGCAAAAAUACUCAAAAUAUAUAAGAUUGAUCAUUUACACCCUCCUUGUUUUUUUUGGGUGAACUAUUUCUGGAAAAUGGGCAGAGCCUAGUUUUGGUUCAAAAUUUGAAAUAACAAAUGGUAUAUUGGUGGAAAACCAACGACAUAUUUUCUAAUGCUUAACCUAAAUGGGAAUUAUAUCGGUUUGUACUGUCAAUAUAACAAACAACUAACUAAAUUAUUUAGAAGUCAUGAAUAAAAAUGGAUAGAACAAGAAGUAUAUUGCUAUUCGAUGCAAGAUGUUGGAUUAUUAAACCAUAAUAAAAUAAUAUAACUACACAUGUGCAAUGUUAUUCACUAAAAAGAUUUAAUUUAGAUAUUAAACAGUUAGUGCAACUGUAUCGAUCUCAUCCUCAUUAAUUUAGAGUUUGAGAACUCAUAAUAAAAGAAAAUAGAAAUUUAAACAUAGAUCCUAUCCUAUUAAGUAGAAUCAGAAAAGAAGUUUAUAGAAAUAAUUUUUCACGGAAGCAAUGAAAUAUUAAUCCGGUUGAUGGAUAUAUUGGUGAACACAUAAUAGAAUAUUAUAAUAGAUUUUUAUCUAUCAAGCAAAGGGAAGAAUAUAAUUGGAAUAACAAAAGAAUUAGAAGUAAAUAGUAAUAUGCUAAUAGGAUAUAAAGGAUUAUUAUUAAUUAUCGUAUUUGUGUAUAUAUAUAUAUAUUUUAAAUGAUUUAGGGACUCUGUACUUGAUGCUGAAAUGUGAACCGGCUGGCACCGGGACAGUGAAACGAGUACUUUUUUUAUUAUUACACGGCCUGUCGUUUUCAAAGAAAAAUUUUAUCAUGGUAUUCUUAUCCCCUAGCUGCCGUUUGUCGUUUGGAAUUUCUCUGUAUAAGAUUUUAAAGCAGCAAAAAUUUCGCCAUCUCGCGCCGGGGGGGUGGGGUGGGGGGAAGAUGAUGAUUCCGUGGAAUAUUAUCUUCGACUUAUCUGCUAUAAUCAGUGCUAACCGAUUUUGACACAUUUGCAGUAACGGAAGGGUUACAAUUACACGAGAUUGACACGAGGUAAUUAGCUAGUCAAGUCUCCGUGGGAAAAUUGUAAGCACUCAAGACUUAAAAAAGACUUUAUAAAGUAAGGCGUAUUAUGGAUGGUGUGGUUUGAUUCUCACUUGCAUCAAUUGUUCUUUUCAUUUUUCAUUGGAGGAAAGGAAAUUCAAGAGCCUGGUGUAUCUAGCAAAUUUUGUAACACGUUCUUGUAAGAUAAAAUAAAUAAAUAAAUAUAUCGGAUCCUAUUUCAUAGUUUAGUUAUAGGGUUAUUCGGAUGUCUGAAUUCAAAACAAGUUAAGUUUAAUCUCUAAAUAAUUUUGAGGAAAUCUUUCUACAAGGAGAGUUUGAAAUCAAUCACUACCCAUGUGUCAUUGGUCAGAUAAAUAGGUUAAGAACUCUAAUCCUAUCCCGACACAAAAAAAAAUCGUAUCGACUCGGACCUAGUCCAUUUUAAAUAACGGUUUAUUUAAAAUAAUUAUUUUUAUAAUAAUAAUUACUACUAUUAGUUGUCCUAUUAUUAUUAUUAACAAUAAUUAUUUUAAAUAAAAAUUGUAAUUAUUAUAAUAAAUGAUGACAAUAAUCAACUAAGAUUAUUUUGGUAUUGUAAUAAUCAAUUCCAAUUCCAAUAAAAAUUAGAUACAUUAGUGACAAUAUAAAUUAGGGUAGGGGUGGGCAAAUUCGGUUUGGAUCGGUUUGGGACAUAUCCUCAAACCGAUCCAAACUAAUCGGUUUGAAAUAUUUUCAAACCGAUAUCAACCUAAAAUUUUUUUAAACCGAACUGAUCCAAACCGAUUGGAUCGGUUUGGAUCCGGUUUGAACUUAUUAGCUAAAAUUUCACUUCUUUUAUAUUAUUUUACCUAAAUUAUUUGUUAUUUUUUUGUGUCCGCAAUCUAAAUUGAUACCUCUUUUAUAUUAUUCAUAUCUACUUUGAUAUCUACAUAACAAUUCAAAGAUACAUCCAUACAAGUUUACAGCAUAAUACAUCCUAAUAAACAAGUUCUUAACCUGUUCAUUCAAAACAAACUCACAAAAUUAAAAUAAACUUAAACCACACUUGACAAUUAAAAUAUUGUGCAUCUUGUCCGUCAAAAUUUAUAGUCCAAUUACUUUUGAUUUGUUAAAAUCUGCAUAAAAUGAUAAAUAUAAUUAUUUAGAUUGAUUAACUUAAAAUAUAAUGUAAUUAUAUAAUAUUUCUGGAUUGGAUCGGUUUGAAUCGGUUUGGAAUCCUUCCAAACCGAGUGAUGUCGGUUUGCAAUCCAAUAAACUGAAACCAGUUUUUUUACUAAUGAAACCGAUCCAAACCGAUCCAAAAGGUCGGUUUGGAUCGGUUCGGUUAAAAUAUGCCCACCCCUAAAUUAGGGGUUAUUUUUAGAAACCUCCCCUGAAGUUUAGUGUAUUGACAGUCGGAUAGAAAGUAUUCAUAUAAUUACAGGGACCUCCCCUGACGUUAGUAUUCCGCUAAGUGGACUGUCAGUUGACUAUUGAAAUUCCAAAAAUGCCCUUGCCGCAAAAAUAUAUUUUUAACAUAGAGGAGGUUGCGCUCUGAUCCUUUGUUCUGAAUUCAUUUUUUAUCCUUUGUUCUUAGUCACGGUAUAUAAGCCCCAUCCUUACCAAACAAAAUUUUAGAUCAAACAUGCUUAAAGAAAAUGGAUAAUGCAACAUCUAAAAUAAUUUUAAAACACAAAACAACAAAUACUCCACAUUUCAAAGUAAUAAAAAAAUAAAUAAUCGUAGUGCAAAUAGAUUAAACCUGAGCAGAUUUAUAGGCAUUAAGAGUAUUCUCAACGGCGACUUUCCUCUCAUCGCCAGUCUUAAACUCAGCCAAGUUAAGCAAACUCAUGUCGAAACCAAAAUUAGAAUUUAGAAAGGAAAAAAACAGAAUUGAGAAUCAAUUUAUUUUUUGGGAGCACGUGAGUGAUGAGUUUUGGAAUCUAAAAUGAUAUCAAGUUAUGAAGUAUUUUUGGUGUAAACGCAACAGCCAUGAGAGGAGAGUGACGAGAAACUUCCAAAAAGAGGUGAAAAAAAAAACAGAAGAGAAAAAGGCCAAAAGGAAAAAGACUCAAAAAAACAAAAACAGAGAGGAGACGCAAGGGCAAUCAAGCAAGCAGACAAACAAUUUAAAACCUGAGCAGAUAAUCACCCUUCAUCUUCAAAUAAAACACCUUGGAAUCGGCAGCGGCAGCGGUGGGAACCAAUUUCUGGUCCAAUAAUUUCAAGAUCCCGCCACAGGAUCUCCAUCAACUCGGCUUCGAUCUUCGAUCUGUACUCCUUAAUCACGGAGACAUGGUCUUGGUUGCCGUGCGACUCGUCCUUCUGCUCGAUGGAGGACACGAUGCACCAAGAGGCGCGCCGUGCGCCGAUGACGUUCUUGUAGGCGACGGAGAGGAGGUUCCUCGCUGGUCGAGGCAGAGACGACGACUUUUUCCAUGUAUUGGACCAUCUCCUCGUACCACUCGGCUUGCUCCGCAAGUUUUUCCAUGUAUACGUUUUCUUCCCGUGGAGAAGGGGCUGCCAUUGUUCCGUUCAGUUAUCUUUGUGUUUGUUUGAAUUUUGUUUUUGUUUAAAUUUUAAAUUUAUUUUUACGUAUUUACCCUUUAUAAUAACGUUAUACGUAUUUUUGUAUUAACGUUAGGGGAGGUCUUUGUAAUUACAUGAAUAUUUUCUAUCCGACUGUUAAUACACUAAACCUCAGGGGAGGUCCCUAAAAAUAACCCUAUAAAUUAUUACAGCUAAAAUAAAUAAUUUAUAAUAAUUCUAAUUCUUUAUUUCAAUUCUAUUUUGAUUCUAUCUUAUUCCGAUUACUGAUUGGUAAGCAUACCACUAAACGAAAUGAAACUGUCCAUACACAAUAAAAUCUCUUUAAUUGAUCAUCUAGCCCAGCUAAAAUCAACGGUCCCGAAAGAAACAAUUUCGGAACUACUCAAGCCUGCAAAUCUUGCACUGUCGUAGUAAGUUACAGGAAUUUGAUUGGACGAUGUAAUAAAGAUGAAGGAUAAGAUCGCCAUUCGCCAAUCAAUUUUCUGUCCGCAUCAAGCAAAUAGGCCAUCUGUGAGGCGCAAAAUGAGUUAAAAAGAUGGAUAAUUUUGGAAUCCAUUAAUCCACAAUGAACAUAAAACAAUUUAAUCAACAGUAUUAGGAAAGAAAAGAAAAGUAGGAGAAGAAAGUUAAGUAUGAUGGAUGGAGGUUCAGAUUACUGUUAAAUGACUUAGGAAAGGCUUAAAGCACCACAGGAAUCAACGUUUCACAAAGCUUUUUUCCCUUUCUGAAAUAUUCGGUGCAGUCUCCCCCAGAUUUUGCCAGUGCAACCAAGAGACGUCAUGCCGUUAUCAAUUAUAAACUGUAAAUGACAUGUUGUUUUUACAAGACAUAUUAUGCGUCGAUACAUACCUAUGAAUGGGUUCAAGAAAUUCAGCAGGUUGCGAAACAAUAAGAUUCAUUCAAUCCGCGUAGAUAUCUGACUGACUGAAAUUAAAUAAACGAUGAUGAUAAGAAAUUUGAAAUCAACAAAUCUCGGCACAUCUAUUCUGCAGUUUGGCCGUACUUCAAAUAACCUUGCGAUAAAAAUUUCAUAAAAAAUCUCAGAAAGAGGACAGAACAACCAAGGCAUCAGCGAAAGCAAUCGAGGCAGGGCACGCUCAAGCCACGAAUUAGAGGAAUUUUAAAUAUCAAAACCUGCUCAGAAUAAUAAGAAAUAAAAUGAAACUACAAAAGGCUCAGAUUUUUGGAUGAGUGAAGGGAAGAUGAGAAGAUGAAAUGCAGAAAGUCAAGAAAUGAAUAAACCAAUAUUAAUAAUCUUGGACCCACAGCUCUAAUUUGGAUUAAGCAUCCAUCUACCUAUGUGGAUAAUAUUUUUGCUAACUUUUCAGCCAUGCAGCAGGAUCAUGUUCGUCCUGUUUUAUUUGAUAGAAGGAAUUUUCCCCUGGAAGAAAAUGAUGAGUCGUUUCAACGUCAUGCAACUGCCUAGACUGCAUGGAAUUUCACCAGACAAUGACAAUUUAUUCUCAGAUAUAUCUAACGCCCCCACAUUUGCCAAAUUUGAAGGCGUCCGUUUUGAGACUGAUAAAAACGUUUUCCAAAAAUUCGGGAUUCAGGUCGAUCAGACCGGUUAUGUUUUGCAAAACUUGUAAAUUUUCAGUGAUCAAAAUUCAAAACUUUGCAAAUAGGUCAAAAUAUGAAAAAUACUUGAUAUAUUAUUGAAUACUCAUUUUGUUUUGCAUUAAUAUACGGCUGUGGGUGCUAUCUAGUUCUAUUAGUAAAAUUCCUUGGGUUGAAAACAAGAAAACUAGCAUUUGAAACUCACCCAUAUGGAUGGGAAAGAAAUUUAGUUACCAUUGGAUUAAAAAAUAAUAAUAACAAUUAGAAAAAAAUUGUAAGGCUUCGACAAGAUUUGCUAAUCAUGUAUAGAUUAAUAUGAAGAUUAAGAACAUCACCUAAGCCAAUUAUUGAAAUUGAAAUUUUAGGAGAAAAAUUUAUGUGGGUUUGGCCACCAAUUUAGCAUUAGGAACUUAUUGUUUAGGAAGCUAUGGUGGGUUUCGUAGUGGGACUUAUCCUCUUUAAUGCAUAUGGUGAUUUUAAACCAACAUUUAUAUAAUCCCAUUAUAAAACUCAUCAAACCUUCUAAAAUAACUCGUUGAGAUAGUGUGCUAGAUCCAUAUAAAUAUUUCUCCAACUUCUUAGCUUGAAGCGAUAUUCAUUUCCAUUGAUAGUUUAAUGGGCAAAGCCUUUUGAAUUCUCCAGGUUAUCAAGUUAUUUUUUGCUGGAAAAUGCAAUCCGGAUAUGAAUAGAUUUUUUUGUGCAAUCAAAUUUUCUAUGUUGACGCAUCCUCUAGAACUUUCAGUAAAUUUUAUGGAGAAGCUUUAAUUUCUUAGUUGUUGAUUUCGAAUAAAAAAUUAAACUUAACUUUAAAAUUACAGUUGUAAUUAUAAAAUAUUUACUGAAUACAUUAGUGUUAAUACUACAAAUUGUUCCAUUAAAAGUCUCUCAAAAAGGAAGAAGUGACUUAAAAAAUUAAAAGAAUGCAGGAGCUGAAGUUGGCAAUUUUGUAAAUUGCAAUGGCAAUUGUGGGCUAGUAAAAUCCCUCAAUGAGUCACAGCACUAGCAAUUUCGUAAUAUACAUUAGUGGCAAUUUUGUAAAAUUGAAGUUGUGAUAGUUUUGCAAAUAAAAGUAAAAGCUUUUUGCCUAAAUUCGGCUGAGCUAAAAGCCAGCUUAGCCCACACUCUCCUUCGCCACCGGUUGACGAGCUCUUCCUUCAAUUUUUGAACUUGAAGUGAUGCCCCAUCGAUGUCCAGAAUUUUUAAAGUCAGAAUGAUGAUCCUAAUGAUUCUUUUUAGAUAGUCACCUGUACGUUGACGUGUUUAAUUGAUGUUUAUUUAAGCAGAAAUUGAAGUUUGAUCCCUGAUUAAUUAGAUGAGAACACACAUUCAUGAGUAAAUACUUAAAAUUAAAUUAAUCAAAAUAGUAUAAAUACAGGAGAAAAUCGAUCAUAUGCGUGCAGACAUCACAAUCGAAUUAUAUAUAUCACCGCCGCACAUAAAUUUGAUUCCCAUGAUAUGUGAUUAAUUAAUUAAUUUUUUUAAUAACAAUUAAAUUGUAAUGUCAAUUGUCCACAUAAGUUUUUUGUUUUUGUUGAUGAAAGUUAGUAAUUUUUUUCCAUCUUUUUAAAUAAAAGUUGUUAAUAAAUAUCAAGAAAAUAUUGGGACUUGAGAUCAGGGUCUACUUAAGUUAGAAUUUUUUAUUAGAAAAGCUAUAGCCAGCGAUGAAAAAUAAAGAAGUAACACAAGAUAAAGAGUAAAAUGAGAGAGCAUAUAUUAUAAAAAGAUUUUACCCAUUUCAAGUGUGCACCAAACAAAGAGACGAACUCUCAUUUUAUAGUUACAUAAUUAUUACAUGAAAUUAAUAAAAAUAUUAAGAAUUAUAAUUCCUUGCGAGAUAGUGGGAGUUAUAGAAAAGUCAAGAGUUGUUAGUGGAAGAUAGCAAGAAGAGUAAAAAAUAUAUGUUAUGAACAUUCACAUUUAUUUUAAUAAAUUUACAGUAUUUUUUUCGUUAAAUAAUAGGGUGUGGAGAACAAUUGGAAGGACUUUACGUGUGUUUAUAUAUUGACAUAAAAAUUGCAGGACGUGUAGUUUAGCGUUUCUUGGUUGUUCAGUGCUAGUUUUCUAAAUCUCGAGCGUGCGGGUUAUUUUUCGUUACCUUUAUCACCGAAAGGCUGUUUUAACCAACUAAGAACUAAAAGCUAAAACCCAAAACCCCCCUCUUGUUCUUUUCCAGGGACUUUACCUUGUCCUUGAUGGCCGAAAAGCAACUGGAAAUCCUCCGCGGGUACGAGCUGCGGCUCUUGCGCUGCACCCUCGCUCCCCCACCGUCCGAUCUUCGCAUUCAAUCGCAACCGUUGAACGAAGAAAGCCAAUGCUCUAUCCUUCCACUCCACGAGCACAUCAACAGCCUCAUCAACUCCAUCGAGUCCGGCCACUAUCUCCAGGCUCUGUCCUCCGACGAGGCUAAACACGCUCUCGACACGCUCGAUUUCGUCGACAUCAACGACUCAGCCGAGUGUGCCGACCGCGUCUACUCCGAGCUGCUCCAGCUUGUCGAAGCGUCUAUAGUGAACGAUUCCGAAAUUGACGUGGAUAAGGCUUGUCGAGUUAUUCUGCUCAUGUGUCUUUCAAUUGCUGCCCUUUUUUGGUUCACUCAGUGUAACGUGACUGGGUGAGUUUCUUAUUUAUAAAUUUUUAAAUAAUUGCAAUUAAUUAAUAAUAAAUAUUAGUAAAAAAUUAAUCAAAAAAAAGGUUUAGUGAUGAACCUUGUCGAGGUGCCUUCUAAUAGAAAAGAGCUCACGGCAAGAUGAAAUGCAAAGUAAGUUGUUUUAUGGUUGGGCGGUGUGUAGCCGUCUUGUUGAAGGCCAUAAGAUGUUAAGCAUAUUGCUGUUUAAUUUUUAAAUCAUUCUCAGUAAUAAUUCCUUUAGUAGAUUGAUGAUAAGAGAUUGCAUUGCAGAUGAUAACUGAGCACAAUUUCUGUAGUUGUAUCCCUGUACAUCCAUCUUAAUAUCCUCAUUAUAUUCACAUGCCUUUUACGGGUGUUAUUUCUGGAUGCAGAAUGCUUUGUUCCACGUCUGGAUACCAAAUGCUUUGUUCCACAAAGCUGAGCUGGUUGAAAAGCUAGCUGAUGAGGUCAACAUGUCCCUUAAGUAAUUUGAGGAUGAACACUGUGUUCCCGAAAGUCUUACUCUAAUGAUACUUAAAGAAGCAAUGAGAAUGGAUGUUGCAGCAGCUUUGCUGAACUCAACCCCAGUUCCAAAAAUGGAACAUGUGAAAAUGCAUUGUUUUUUUUUUUUUUUUUCUCUCUCUUUAUGACUUCUUUGGUUGGGAAUGUAUUAGAUAUUCACCUAAUCAGUAGGCCUUGAAGGGAUCCCAUGUUAGCCCCUUGAUGUUGGUCUGUAACUAAGUAAAUACUUGACCUUGAAAAAGCUUUUGGAGGCAUCAGUUCUCUCUGACUGUGUGCUACUUUUUGGAUCUGUUGAUUUGGUCAUUUGCUGAUUUAUAGUUAUUUUUCUGAUUCAGGAUGGGAUAUGGCUCCAUACAUAUAUAGGCAAUUGAUUCACAGCAGUCGUCAUGCUUCAUUGUAAUUAUAUAUACAAUACAGCAUCAGUUUUUCUUGAUUUUAAAUCUCGUAUUCUGAAGUGGUACUUCUGAUUCUCACAUGAUUUUUCCAUCUUUCAGCUAAAGUUUUUCUGUGAUCUCUUCCGUAUUAGAUGGGAGUUCACCCGUAGUCGCACAAAAGGGCGUGCUUUAGAGAUGAUGGACAAACUGGUAUGAUCUGUGAGCCUUUUCUUCUUAAAUAUUUUGUUACCUAAAUCAUUUUCAUUCAAAUUUACAAGAGUUGCCUAUGGAUCUAUAGAAGAUUCCAAACUUUCUGCAGCUAGUAGUUUCUUGGUUUCCGUACUGUCCAUCGGGUAAAGAUUGAAUGUGCAUCAUUUAUAAACUUGUCGGGAUCUUCCUUCUUAGCUUUGAGAUUGCUCCUGCAUAUAGGUAGAACCAAAGGCACAAAUGGUACUUGUUGCAAACACAAGCUCAUCCAACACUUCUGAUGUCUGCCCUUCAAUAAACCAAGUCAUUCAUACACAUGAUUCUACUAUUGGUGAUGCCUCUGAUGUUUUUGUGACCCCAAAAUUAUUGGGGAAUAGUCAUGAAUCUGAAUCUGGAGUCCAAUGCAUUCAUGCUGGUGGCUCAGCAGCCCAUUUAAAGGCAAUCCAACAGGCAGUGAUCUUGUCGAGGUGCCUUCUAAUAGAAAAGAGCUCACGGCAAGAUGAAAUGCAAAGUAAGUUGUUUUAUGGUUGGGCGGUGUGUGGUCCUCUUGUUAAAGGCCAUAAGAUGUUAAGCAUAUUGCUAUUUAAUUUUUAAAUCAUUCUCAGUAAUAAUUCCUUUAGUAGAUUGAUGAUAAGAGAUUACAUUACAGAUGAUAACUGAGCACAAUUUUUGUAGUUGUAUCCCUGUACAUCCAUCUUAAUAUCCUCAUUAUAUUCACAUGCCUUUCACGGGUGUUAUUUCUGGAUGCUGAAUGCUUUGUUCCACUUUUGGAAACCAAAUGCUUUGUUACACAAAGCUGAGCUGGUUGAAAAGCUAGCUGAUGAGGUCAACAUGUCCCUUAAGUAAUUUGAGGAUGAACACUGUGUUCCCGAAAGUCUUACUCUAAUGAUACUUAAAAAAGCAAUGAGAAUGGAUGUUGCAGCGGCUUUACUGAACUCAACCCCAGUUCCAAACAUGGAACAUGUGAAAACCAAAAAUGCAUUGUUUUUUUUCUCUUUAUGACUUCUCUAGUUGGGGAAUGUACUAGAUAUUCACCUAAUCAGUAGGCCUUGAAGGGAUCCCAUGUUAGCCCCUUGAUGUUGGUCUGUAACUAAGUAAAUACUUGACCUUGAAAAAGCUUUUGGAGGCAUCAGUUUCUCUCUGACUGUGUGCUACUUUUUGGAUCUGUUGAUUUGGUCAUUUGCUGAUUUAUAGUUUGUUUUCUGAUUCAGGAUGGGAUAUGGCUCCAUACAUAGAGACAAUAGAUUCACAGCAGUCAUCAUGCUUCAUUGUAAGUAUAUAUACAAUACAGCAUCAGUUUUUCUUGAUUUUAAAUCUCAUAUUCUGAAGUGGUACUUCUGAUUCCCACAUGAUUUUUCCAUUUUUCAGCUAAAGUUUUUCUGUGAUCUCUUACGUAUUAGAUGGGAGUCCACCCGUAGUCGCACAAAAGGGCGUGCUUUAGAGAUGAUGGACAAACUGGUAUGAUCUGUGAGCCUUUUCUUCUUAAAUAUUUUGUUACCUAAACCAUUCUCAUUCAAAUUGACAAGAGUUGCUUAUUUAUCGAUAGAAGAUUCCAAACUUCUGCAGCUAGUACUUUAUUGGACCCAAAAGCUUUUUUGCUUUUUCUAAGCUGCUAAUCAAGACUAGGUUUCUCUCCCUUAUAUCGCUAGAUAUGCCAUUAAUCGUUUGAUUUAAUUGUCUAGAGAGAUUAGAUACUUGCAUCUUUGCUUUUCACUUCACAAGUGAUUUCAUGUGCUAUCCUGUAUUCUGGUUCAAGAUUUUUGAUGGUUGCUUACUAUCAUAUUUUGCUUUGUUUCAGGUUGAGGGCAUUUCUAACUCUUCUCCCGGUGUGACUCAAAGUAUUCCCUUUUGUUAUGUGAUUUGCAUUCCAACUAUUCCUGCCCUGCGAAAGUAAAACUAUUUCUUCUGCAUCUUUGAAUGAUUGUGAUUUAAUUUUCUUGUCAUUUUGCCAACUAUCAUUAUGCUGUCAUUGUUUCAUAUCUUAUUUGACAUAUGUUGAUUUGGAUAGAUUUUAAUUGCUCUGUUUAUUCUCUUUAUAAUCUGUCUAUUUCGAUUUUUCUUCAUUUUAGGGAAUAUGCUAAACUUUUAGUAAGCCGUGGCUUGAUUGGAGAGGCUAUUAAAAAUUUUGAGGAUCUGGUGUUGUGGGAUAGUCUAAUACUGCAAUUGGUAUGAUGUCAUAGAUAACCAUUACCCUAAUCUCUCUGUCUAUCUCUCUCUCUCUCUCUUUCGUGUUGCUAAUGGGAGUUGGUUUUGUGUAUGAUGUAAAAAACAGCCUAUUGGGGAAGAAAGCAGCAGCUGUUGAACUAAUAAAAGCAAGGCUGUCUGAAAAGCCUAAUGACCCUACAUUAUGGUUUGUUGAUGAGCCUUUUCUAUGAUCCAUUUUAUAGUUACUUCUCAUUUCAGUUAAAUCCAUUGUUGAUGUCACUUAUUGCAAUCUAGGGAUGAUUGUUCAUUGGAUGUGAGGAUAUUGUCAGAAGAAAAUGAAACCUUUUAAUUUUAUCUUUUACUUGCUGUAGCCGACUUAAAAGGUCACUGUGCGUUCUUACUGAUUGCUUUUGGUCUUGCAUUUGAGUCAGUGGAUUUUAUACUCAUAUUCUGACAUGUAUUGUUAGCCUUCUGACGGUUCUGCACCUUGGUCCUAUAUUAUCUUCAGCAGUAUUAUCUAAAAGAUCAUUUUUUGCCGAAGAAUAUUUGCAUUCUAAACUAGAAAAGGAGGGGCCGCCCGGGCCCGGGGGGGGGGGGGGGGGUGUGUGUGUGUGAAGGAAGCAUCAGGAGGUUGUUUUCCACUUAUCCUCUUCCCUGCCUGCAUUUUAGAUGAUUCUGAUGCACCAGGUGCCGUGAAAUGGUUGAGAAAUACAUACCAUCAAGUGAAUUCUGAAAAUCAUAUCCUUUUUGAGAAUAUUUGGUGCUAGACAUUUGAAUAUGUGGCCACAAUUUAAACAAUAAAGAUUUUCUGCACUGAUUUCUUAUAAUGGAUAUAUGCAUGUAAUUAUAAUAUGAUAUCUUUUGAUUAUUGACCCAUUUGUUUAGAAAGAAGGGGAAAAAAAAAACAUGGUUGAAAGACAACUGUUACUUGACCUUAUCUUGGUCUGUUCACUGCCGUUUGUUUCCUAUAACUUCUGGUGAUAAUGUAGCCAGAAUGAUGAGUUGAAUUGUGGUUUACUGACUUGUGAUACAUUUUGUAGGUGUUCAUUUUUGUUUUCUAAAUUUGUUAUCUAAAGGAAUGACAAGUUGACAACUCAGCCUCUCUCUCUCUCUCUCUCUCUCUCUCUCUCUGUGUGUCUGUGUCAGGGAUCUGAUUUGUGGAAAGAAAGAGAUCGGUUUGAAAGGUUUUCAUAUGCAUCCUUGGAACUUUGUAAGGUUUACAUGGAAAUUUCUUCCUCUUCUGGUAGCCGUCAAGAACUCUUUGCUGCUGAGAUGCACCUGAAGAACGUACUUAAACAAGUAAAAUACCUUAUAAUUCGAUAUUUAAGACACUUACAGAUGGUAUUACAUUGACAGCAGUAAAACAAAGAAGCAACUGAAAGUUAUCUUCAUAUGAGAAUGAAAGCUUUUCAGCAGCAUAAGCCUUUCACUAUUCAAUUCCAAACACGUUCCUCAACAUGAUAACAAAUUCGUAGACCUUUUCUGGGUCUGGAAGGAUCCUGUAACAGUUUCUCUUUGCAUGCACUUGUUCAUCCAUGCUGAGAAUUUGGGGCACUCAUUCUCAACCUUAAAUCCCCCAAAUUCCUCAACCGCGUAAAACCAUCAAGUCAGUGGAAUGGCAAUCACAUCAACGAAUCCAAAGCUGUCCCCGCCAAAGAAAUCCUUCUCCCCUAAAGCUCCCUCAAGUUGCUUCAAAAUCUCUAUAAAUUCAUUCUUCGCCGGGGACCUCGCCCUUCGUUUUGCAUAUGUUGCAGACUGGAUCGAAUACCUGCCAAAAAAGUGGUGUCAUCUUUUAAGUUCGCAUUUAGAAAGAUACAAACAUUUACACUUGAGAAUUAUAGACUGACCUUCUUGUCAAUAAAAUCUGCCCAGAACCUUGCCUUAGCUCUCUCAGAAGCACAGGAUGGGAGAAGUGAUGGCGAAGGCCAAGUCUCGUCAAUUUAGUUGACUAUAAUAGUGGAUUAACACAAUGGUUCCCCAUCGUGCAGCAAAACUGGGACUUUCUUGUAGAUGGGGUUUGAUUUGAGCAACAGGUCACUCUUGCCCCCGAACAAGUUCUCAGCUCUGGCUUCAUAUCCAACUCCUUUCUCAGCCAAUGCAAUCUUUGCUCUCAAGCAAAAUGGGCUAACCCAACAGUCCAAAAGAACAACCUCUCCCUUUGACAUAUUCAACUAUCAAGGUUGGUAUUUAUAUAGGAGAAAAGAUGAAAUUCCCAAAGAUUGUGUCGCAAUCAAGGUUUGUUCGUUGGCACUUCGAUAAAGGAUGUGGCCUUGUUCUUAUCAUUUCUUAGUUUUUGAAGCUAAAUGUUUUACUUGGCUUUCAACAGGCACAAGAACAAGUUUGUCUUGUGUAAAUAAAAUAAAACCAUAAAAUUCCAUUAUUAGUGUAAAACCAAAAUAAUUAAAAUAAUAAAAGUGAGUUAGUCGUGCGUGUGGACCUCCUCUUUAUGAGUUUGUUAUCACACCAUAUUUGGUUUCUAUAAAUAAAAUAACUAAAACUCUCUUAUCUAAGUAAGAAUAUUGUUAUUUUGAAAUACCAACUCAAUCUCUAACAAAUCUUGAGAUAUAACUUAAGAUUCUUGAGCUUCCAAUAUAAAACAAGUAAGAUUAACAUAACUUUUUCACUUCCUUCCAUCAAAGAAGGGAAUAAGUUAUAUAAUUUAAUUUAUGUUUAAUUAAAUUAUUUUAAAUGGGUAAUAAUUAUAAAUUUUUCCACUUUAUUUAAUUAACUAGAUAAGACCAUAUUGUAAAUUCUUACAUUUAUCACUUUAAUCUCUUUCCUUUUUCAUUCCAACUCCGGUACAAACUAUUCCUUUUCAAAAAGUUGUACUCAAAUUGAUAAGUCUUGGAAGACCAAAACACUAUUUAAAAUUUAUUAUUUGCUUUAGUAGCUUUCAUGGGUGCAAGGUAAGGAACAAAACUCGGUGGAUUUUAUGACAAAAGCUUUAUCUUAUGUAGCACUUUUUUCGAUAUCUCGAACUUUACUCUUUAAGAAUGUUGUAUAAUAUUUCUACAAUAACAACAAACAAAUUAUAACCCUGAAAGAUCUAUAUACACCUCGAUCUCUAGCUAGUUCUCUACAAAAUAUGGCACUAAGUAACAAUGUAAUCGGAGCCAUCAACUUUGUUGCCGUACUUCUUUCAAUCCCAGUCAUCGGUGCCGGAAUCUGGCUUGCCACCGAGGCAGACAAUUCUUGUGUCAAGCUUCUACAAUGGCCAGUCAUUAUUUUGGGAAUCUUGAUUCUAGUCGUGGCUCUAGCAGGCUUUAUUGGAGGAUUUUGGCGCAUCCCUUGGCUCCUUAUACUUUAUCUCGUUGCCAUGCUCAUUCUUAUAAUAUUGCUGGCUUGUCUAGUUGUUUUCAUUUACAUGGUCACGAUUAAGGGCUCAGGUCACCUUGCACCCAGUAGAGCGUACUUGGAAUACCGCCUCGAUGAUUUUUCUGGAUGGCUACGUAGAAGAGUUCGAAGCCCUUACAAAUGGGAUCGGAUCAAAAGCUGUCUCAGCUCGACACAGAUGUGCCCUGAGUUGAACCAUGUAAAAAUGAGUUGCAAAUACUGUUUGGUUACUGAGAAACAGAGAGAAAAUUGAUGAAUAUUCCAGAUCUUAUUAUUUCAUUAAUUACAAAUGAGUAAAUCACAAGUCUUUAUACUUGCAUUUCAUUAGUAAAAGCUAUUAACGAAACUGAUCUGUAUUAACUAACUAAUACUAACUAACUAAUCACGCGAACUCUCAUUGCUGCAUAACAGAAUCAGCUGACUCAGCAUUGUUGACGUGGCAUUGCUGACGCACCUUAGCUUCUGACUUCUUCUCUCUUCUUAGCUCAGCACAAUGAGCUUUCUUCACAGCCCCUCUCAAACUCAAGGGGCAUAAAUGCACAUUGAGUUUGUUCCUCAGAUAAAUGAACUGAGAAGAGUUUAAGGGCUUAGUCAUUAUGUCUGCUAUCUGUUCUGUACUAGGAACAUAUAGAAUCUUAAGAUCUCCAGUUAGAACCUUAUCUCUGAUAAAAUGCAGAUCGAUUUCUAUGUGUUUUGUUCUUGAGUGAAACACUGGAUUAUGAGCAAGAUCUUUGGCACUUACAUUGUCACACCAUAUAACUGGUUUCUCCACACGACAUAGAUUAAUCUCAAGAAACAAAGAUUUUAUCCAUGUUAUCUCUGAAACAGCUGCUGCAAGUGCUCUGUAUUCACUUUCUGCAGAAGAUUUUGUAACUACAGAUUGCUUCUUUGAGGACCAUGAGAUUAAGUUGUUUCCUAGGUACACACAAUAUGCACCAGUGGAUCUUCUGUCAUCAAGAUCACUUCCCCAGUCUGCAUCUGUAAAUGCUGUAACCUUCAGCUCACCUUUCUUAACAAAUUUCAGCCCAUAGUCUUGUGUUUCCUUCAGAUAUCUAAGCACACGUUUGCAUGCCAUAAGAUGUUGAAGUGUUGGUGAAGAUACAUACUGACUUAGCUUAUGAACUGAAUAGGCAAUUUCAGGUCUUGUCAAAACUAAAUACUGAAGACCUCCUACAAUGCUUCUGUAAUGAGAUGGAUCUUCUAUGUAAUAACCCAUUUCCCCUUCUAUAUUCUUCUGCAAUCUGUAAUCUUUGCUGCUGCUCAUUGGUGUAUCUAUUCCUUUACACUCGAGCAUAUCAGCUUUAGCCAGCAAGUCUCUGAUAUACUUCCUUUGUGAUAGAUACAUACGGCCAAGAUCAUACAAAACUUCAAUUCCAAGAAAAUAAGAUAACUUUCCCAGAUCCUUUAAUGCAAAUGCAGAACUGAAUAGCUUGAUAAAAUCUUCCAGCUCAUCACAAUUUGAUCCUGUAAUCAAUAUGUCAUCCACAUAUAUCAGGAUUAAAAUAAUUGAUCUUUUAUUCUUUUUCAAGAACAAAGAUGAGUCAGACUUAGAAUUCUCAAAUCCCCAUUGCACAAGACUGUUUCUCAGCUUGUCAAAACAUGCUCGUGGAGCUUGUUUCAAACCAUAAAGUGCCUUGUGAAGCUUGCACACAAAAUCAGGUCUUUUGGAAUCAAUAAACCCUUCUGGUUGACUCAUAUACACCUCCUCAAUUAAAUCUCCAUUUAAGAAUGCAUUAUUCACAUCAACCUGUCUUAUUUGCCACUGAUUCAUUACUGCUAGACUCAGGACUAUUCUAACUGUUGCUGCUUUCACCACUGGACUGAAAGUCUCAAAGUAGUUCACUCCUUCUAUUUGCUGAAAUCCUUUAGCAACCAACCUUGCCUUAUAUUUUGCAACACUUCCAUCAGUAUUUGAUUUCACUCGAAAUACCCAUUUGUUGCCAACAAGUUUGUGAUGUUCUGUUCUUGGCACAAGUGUCCAGGUACCAUUUGACAUUAGUGCAUCAUAUUCAGCUUUCAUUACUUGAAACCAUCUCUCAUCAUUGAUAGCCUCCUGAACUGUAUCUGGUUCUUUAUGCAACAAUACUGCAGUAUAUACCUUUGGCUUAAAGAUACCUGCUUUCCCUCUAGUGAUCAUGGGGUGUUGGUUUAGUGAUGGUGAGGUUGUCAUUGUUUGAUUGAGAUGAGGGAUAUUGUUAUUGUGUUGGUUUUGUGAAUUUUCAUUUGAGGGCUGUUCUAAUGUUGUGUCAGGUAUAGAAGGUAACAUUAUAGGUGCAGAUGGAUUAUUUCUGUCUGUGUUUGAGGGUUGUUGAUCUGUUACCUGUGUUGAGACUACUGUUGAAGGAAAAAUGUUGCCACUGGAGUAUGCUUGAGAGAAAGAUUCAUUGCUGGUGACUGAAAAAUCUGUUAUGACAGGUAAUGUUGAUAACUGGAAAACUUGUAUAGGAGUAAUUGUGCAAUAUGUAUCAGACUUAGAUUUAUUUGAAUUAUGAAAGCUAGGAUCAGCUGCAAAUGGAUAAGAGUGUUCAUCAAAGACAACAUGCCUAGCUAUAUAUAUAUGUCCAGAGGGGUGAUAACACUUGUAGCCUUUAUGAGAUGGACUAUAACCAAGAAAAAUGCAUUUGGUUGUGUGAUAGUCAAACUUGUGCUUAUUGUAAUCUCUCAGAUAUGGAUAACAAGCACAUCCAAAGCAUUUCAGCAUUUUAUAAUCAGCCUUGUGUUUAUAAAGCUUUUCAUAUGGAGUAGACAUCUUAAGUGCAGAAGUAGGGAGUCUAUUAAUGUGAUAGACUGAGGCAUGAAAAGCAUCCCACCAGAAUUGAAAAGGGAGUUUGGCUUGAGCUAGAAGUGUCAGUCCUAAUUCUACAAUUUGUCUGUGUUUUCUUUCAACAAGUCCAUUCUGAUGAUGAGUGUAAGGGCAAGAGUGUCUAAAGAGAAUGCCACAUUCAUUUAGAAAGGCAGUAAAUGGUCUGUAUUCUCCCCCCCAGUCAGAUUGUAGAAUUUUGAUAGAAGUUUGAAAUUGUUUUUCAACUUGAAGUUUGAACAGCUUGAACACUUCUAGAGCUUCUGAUUUAAGUUUCAAAGGAUAAAUCCAGGUGUAUCUGGUAUGAUCAUCCACAAAGCUAAUGUAAUAUCUAAAGCCAUCUCUAGAAUAUGCUGGUGAGGGACCCCAUAGAUCAGUGUGAACAAGUUCUAGAGCUGAUGUGGAUUUGAUAUCAGUGAUUGGAAAAUGAAGUUUAUGAAAUUUUCCUAGUUGACAUGCUUCACAGAAAUGCUUUGUAGCUUGAUUAACAAUAUUUGUAGAGCACAAAUUGGGAUGCACAAGCUUAAGCAAAUGAAUUAGACUUUGAGUAUUAGGAUGACCAAAUCGUUUGUGGAGUAAAGACAUUUUAUUGAAUGAAUUAGUGCUACAAGUAUUCUUAUUUGACUGAAAACAUUUUCCAGAACAAGAACUAUUAACUGAAGUGCUGAAAUAACACUGAGAUAGCAUGGACACAGGCUUAUUUAUUGAGCUCUGAGAUAGAAAAGAGGUAAAUGUAGAUUGUGAUGAUGAACUCAGCUGCAAUUUGUAUAAACCUUUCUCAGCAAUACCCAGUAGCAGAAUUUUCCCUUUCAGUAUAUCCUUCACAAAGCAAACAGAACCAAGGAAUUCAACAGAUAAGUCAUUAUCAGUGGUCAGUCUAGAAACACUUAUUAAAUUCUUUGUAAUAGAUGGAACAAGCAGUAUAUCUUUAAGUGCAAUGCAUGUACUUGCAUAUUGUAUUUUAGAGCUUUGAAUUGUAAGAUUGGCAUUACCAACAUGUGUGAUUGACAAACCUUUACCAUCACCAAUGAUAAGCUUGUCAUUACCUCUAAACUCAUUGCUGACAUGCAUAUUUGCCAUACUAUUUGUUAGAUGAUGUGUAGCUCCACUGUCAAGGUACCAUCCUUCAUCUGUUGGUCCUUCAAAGUUAGCAGCAUAAGCAGCUCCAGCUCCACUCACAGGUGAGCUCAUUGAGUCAGAUAUGUAUGAAGAAUAUGGUGUAUUAUACACGUGAGGUAUCCCUGAAUAAUCAGCUGCAGCAGGCCAUGAAUCUUCAGUAGGUGCAUUAAAAUAUGUCAUAUAGGCUGAUCUCUGAUUUCUUCCUCUUUUCAUGUGUUGAGGUAUAUAAUUUUCUUCAAACCUAUGCCAACAUUCUACUGCUGUGUGUCCAGAUUUAAAACAGAUCUGACAAACAACAGUCUGUUCCUCAUUACCAUCAGAAUUCGACAAACCAGAAUUAACACUAUAUUGUCCUCUCAUGAAUUGUGCCUGCUUAUUAUUGUUUCCAAUCAUUUGACCUCUGCCAAGAUUAUUACCAAGAUUUCCAGAUCCAGAGGGAAAGCCUCUUGGAUGAGAAUUGAUAAACAUUCCUCUUCCAGUAUGAAAAUUGUUUCUUCCAAAUUGAUUUCCACCAUGAAAUCCUCCAUUAUAUCCACCUCUUCGAGCACUACCUCUUGUUUGAGCAUAAUAAGCAUUCAUCAUACCAUAGCCAUUAUUAUUAUGAGAAACAUUAGCAAGAUUUGCAUUGAACAUCUGUUUUUCAUUUAGACUCUGUUCUAAUCUUGUUUCAUGCGUGAGCAGCAAUGCAUAGGAAUCAUCAAAAUCUAGCUUACUAGCAGUAAUGAAAGUUGCUAAAUCUAGAUAGCCUGGUCCAAGACCAUUAAGGAUCUGUUGUAACAGAUCUUUGUCAGAAACUGGACUACCAGCACAGGCUAAUUUAUCUGCUAUUUGUUUCAUUUUCAAACAAUAAUCUUCUACAUUUAGUGAAUCUUUUCUCAAAACACUCAUCUCAUAUUUGAGUUGAAGAACUCUAGCUUCAGAUUUUGCACCAAACUUUUUCUCCAAUGUUUUCCACACAUCAUAUGCAGUAUUACAAGAAUGAACAUGACUGAGAAUACCUUCAGUGAUUGAGCUUAAUAGCCAGCUUAGUAAUGUCUGAUCCUGUGACCUCCAGAUUAUAUAUUCUGGAUUUUCAACUUGUUGUGUAACUCUUCCCAUUGUUUCAGCAUAGCUUCCUGAAGUAAGAAAUUGAGUAGGUGCUGCCUUUUCUCCAUUGAUGUAGCCUUCAAGUCUGUUUCCUCUUAUAGAAGCUAAUACUUGAUUUCGCCAGAGCAUAUAAUUGGAUCUAUCCAAUUUGAUUGGCGUAAUGAAUGAGAAGGUAGUUUGUAUUGAUUGAUUCAUGUUUGUUGUGUUUGGAUUUGUGUUUAAAUUGCUUGAGCUUACCAUAUUUCUGGCUCUGAUACCAUGUAAAAAUGAGUUGCAAAUACUGUUUGGUUACUGAGAAACAGAGAGAAAAUUGAUAAAUAUUCUAGAUCUUAUUAUUUCAUUAAUUACAAAUGAGUAAAUCACAAGUCUUUAUACUUGCAUUUCAUUAGUAAAAGCUAUUAACGAAACUGAUCUGUAUUAACUAACUAAUACUAACUAACUAAUCACGCGAACUCUCAUUGCUGCAUAACAGAAUCAGCUGACUCAGCAUUGUUGACGUGGCAUUGCUGACGCACCUUAGCUUCUGACUUCUUCUCUCUUCUCAGCUCAGCACAAUGAGCUUUCUUCACAAACCAGAGUUAUAGGAUGGCUCAAGAUUUCUUCAAUGCACAUAUUACCCCUUUACAGGUAAUUAUAAUUAAUUAAGUUCUCGAUUACCAUUAAUUUUAUUUUAUUUUUUUCCAUUAAUUUCUAGAAAUUAAGAUUUAUUAGAACUCUAAAGUUAAAUUCUGAUUAAAAUUUUAAUUUUUAACGUACACAUUCCUCUUUAUAAUUAUGACCGUACGUAAUUUUAUAGCAGAGGAUAAUUCCUACCCAUUAAUUAAGCUAACCCACACGCCCAUGGAACAAUGAAGAAGUAGCUAAUAAAGUAAAAACACUGUAUUAGAUUCGGAAAACCAAGUUUCAAAUCUUCUUUUCAAAAAUAUUCUUCGUCUUUAUCUUUAUUGCGUGCCUUUGUGCUUUUUUUUUUCUAUUUAUUUAUUUUUCUUGUUUACAGUCUGGAUGUUGUAAGCCUCCGACAGAGUGUGGUUACACAUUUGUAAACCCAACAUAUUGGAUAAGUCCAAUUAACAACGCGGCGGACAUGGAUUGCCUACAGUGGAGCAAUGACCAAAUGCAGCUUUGCUAUAAUUGUGAUUCAUGCAAAGCAGGAUUACUUGCUAAUCUGAAAAAGGAGUGGAGAAGAGUAGAUAUCAUAUUACUCGUUACUCUUGUUGCUUUGAUAUGGGUUUAUCUGAUUGGAUGUUGUGCUUUUAGGAACGCCAAAACUGAAGACCUCUUUCGCAAGUACAAGCAAGGCACUUACACGUAAUUGUUAGCUGCACGUAAACUCUCUUUGAUAGUAAUAUUAAUGUGUAAUUAGGGACUGGCUUGAAUUGUUAUUUUGAUAAUUUUAUGAAUUUUUUGUUUAAGAUCCGUCUUCUUGGUUACUUACAUUUGGUUAAAUUAUGUGUGGGGUUUGAUUUGAUGACGACAUAAUCUUGAGUUGUGCGUGCGUGAUUUGUGGAGGGCGCCGAAAGUAGGUGGCUUUUGAAUAUUUGCUUUUUAAGGAGAAGGGAUUUCGCACUUCCGCUCCCUGCUUGCUCGCAUAGGGCAUUAAUUGUAGCUUUGAAAAAAGUUCUGCUUCAGCAUGCGCAAAAGUCAAAGAAAUGGGACAUGUGCUCAUGCAUUAUGCAGCCAGCAUAUGGGUGAUAGCAGACGUAUUUAAUCUUUUAGUCUUUGUUGACAACUCAGCCUCUCUCUCUCUCUCUCUCUCUCUCUCUCUCUCUCUCGCUGUGUCUCUGCGUCAGGGAUCUGAUUUGUGGGAAGAUAGAUAUCGGUUUAAAAGGUUUUCAUAUGCAUCCUUGGAACUUUGUAAGGUUUACAUGGAAAUUUCUUCCUCUUCCAGUGGCCGUCGAGAACUCUUUGCUGCUGAGAUGCACCUGAAGAACGUCCUUAAACAAGUAAAACACCUUAUAAUUCGAUAUUUAAGACACUUACAGUUGGUUUAAAGAUUGCAUUUUCCGUUUCUGUUUUUGACUGGUUCAGGGUAAAACUUUUUCUCACUGUGUUAGAGUGCAUUUCUGUUAUUAUAUAGUACCUGUCAAAAUUUUCCAUUCCAAUUAGUUACAGAGUGAAUUCUGUAAGGUGUGGCGCCCCCUUGAAGGCCAGGAGAGCCGUGUUUAGGGCUUAUCACCCCUCCAAGGUGUAAUCCCUUGUAUCCCUGUAGCUUAUACCAGAGGUCCGGAGUACUGCAGACUUGUGGAGAUACGGGGCUAUGAGUUUCCAUCUUUCGGACAUCACAACACUUGUUCUGGAGAAAUUAUGGGUUUAUUUCAGAACAGAGGAAGGUUACUUCAUUAAGAGGAAUGAGAGAUUUACAAUACACUAGAUUUAGGCUCCAAGACUCGAUGCCUAGAUACAAACCAAGGGUUCCCUUUUAUAGGCACAAGGGAACCACUAUUACACACUGUAGUCAUUAUUGAUCCUUAUCUCUAAGGAAUCUAUUUUACAACUCACUCCUUACUUUAUGUCACACUCAUACUCUCAUCCUUAUCACAAAGGAUGGUACACAAUACAUACGAAUACAAAUACAUAUAUUAUUAUUAUUAGAGAUACAAAUACAUAUAUUAUUAUUAUUAAAUAUACAAAUACAUAUACGAAUACAAAGGAUGGUACACAAUACACUCUGAUAAUAAUAAUAUAUGUAUUUGUAUUCGUAUGUAUUGUGUAUCAUCCUUUGUGAUAAGGAUGAGAGUGUGAGUGUGACAUAAAGUAAGGAGUGAGUUGUAAAGUAGAUUCCUUAGAGAUAAGGAUCAAUAAUGACUACAGUGUGUAAUAGUGGUUCCCUUGUGCCUAUAAAAGGGAACCCUUGGUUUGUAUCUAGGCAUCGAGUCUUGGAGCUUAAAUCUAGUGUAUUGUAAAUCUCUCAUUCCUCUUAAUGAAGUAACCUUCCUCUGUUCUGAAAUAAACCCAUUUUGGUAUCAGAGCCAUAUUUCCCAAAAGGAAACCCCUGGGUGUGCAACAAUAUUAUGCUCUGUGGUUGCCGAAACACUUCGGAUCCUCCACAUCAGAAAGUUGUUGAAUACUGAUCUACCUGUCAAAAUUUUCCAUUCCAAUUAGUUACAGAGUGAAUUCUGUAAGGUGUGGCGCCCCCUUGAAGGCCAGGAGAGCCGUGUUUAGGGCUUAUCACCCCAAAGAAAACCCUUUGUUUUCUCUUAGCCAUGGAAAACUCAAACAGUAAUAGAUCUGGAAACCAAACAGUUUCUGACCAAGGAUCCACUUCGGCUAUCAGAGUUCUAACUGAUAGUUCACCCUCUAUAAACUUCCAUUACGAAACCCAAGAGGAUGAAAGCAGUGAGAGAGCGGUUCAGUCCUUUAGACUUGAUCCGUUAGAUCCCUAUAGAUACUACCAUAUCAAUUCUACUCUUAAUCAAUUAAGAGCCAUAAUUCCUAUUAGACAACCCAAGCUUAAAACCAUCUAUAAAUCCUCUGAGAUUACUGUCCAGUUCAUCUCCUCCAGUUCUAAAGAAACAUACCUUCCUAUAAUCUCUACCAAUGAGGUUACAAGGUAUAAGCUACAGGGAUACAAGGGAUUACACCUUGGAGCAAUCUAGAUAGGAAUACAACCAUUGUUCCUAGCUGGAAAAGAUAUCACAUGCUUCAUUGCCAUCCUUGACACUAGAUGGCAAACUUUUGAGAAAGCCUUGAUCACUGCUGUCGAAGCAGGACUCAACCAAGGUCAUGUUGUUCUCCAAGUUGAACCCAACUUCACCCUUGACAUACACAAGCCAUUUCUCACAGAUGCCAUUAAGGUAUUAAUUCAGGUCAAUGGUCUAACCAUAAAACCUGAUGAAUCUGCCUUGGCAAUUCACCACACCAUGACCUAUAAAGUCCAAACCCAUCUGUUCUCUAUGAGCAGCUCUGGCAGGCCCAUUACCAGAUUUCUUGCUGGUGAUGGCAGAGUCUUUCAACCUCGGACUUAUAGGCAAAAUCAGCUCAUUUUUCUACCUCAAUGGAUCAAUGAGUAUGAAAAAAACAGCAAGCCUCAACAAAUCCAUGAGGUUCCAAAGAUAAGCCGGUUACAAGAAGGAAGGGUAUCAGUCUCUUUUCCCACUGAGACUAAAGCCCUCUAUCCAUGUGAAAAAUGCCAGCUUGAAGGAAGGCAUCCCUCCUUGUGCACUCAUAUGCCAAGAAGAAUCACCUCCUGCAGAAUCAUGGGUCCAAUUAACAUGAUCACCACUCCGGAUCUUGAUAAUGAAUUCCUCAAGGAUAUUCCUGGAGGAAUGUAUGUUGCCAAAUGGGUAAUACAAAAAACCAACCCAACUGAAUUUGGCCCAAUUGAGAAGGCGAUCAACUGGUCAAACAUCAAUGCUGUUGAACAGAACCAAGCGUUGGGAGACAUCAUGGUUACCCAACAGCAAAUUCUUGCUGACUUAGCUGUUAUCAGAAAACAGCUAAAGAAAACCAGAAAACAGCAUAAGGUGACUACCCAGCAGUUUUCCCAAAUGCAUGACAGUGCCUCCAGAUCUAUCAACAUGAUCGUAAUGACCGGAGCUGCAGAUGAGGACGGAAUGAGAAGAACCAGAGAAAGCUAUCAAAGGACAAAAGUGUCCAGGCACUGGAAGAGCAAGCCCACAAAGCCAUGGCAUGUCUGGGAAGAAAAUGCAUCUGGCAACUGUCAAAAGGCAUUUUGGAGAAGCUAUGCUCCACCUCCACAAUAUCCAUGGCCCACUAAGGCUACAGGAUGGGAUGAGGAUAAAGAUACGGAUACUGAAACAAGUAUCUCCUCUGAUGACCAGAUCCCUCUUAUACCAAUUCUUAUGCAAAGAGCAAAUCCUCCAAAUCCAUUCUAUGUGGAUACUCGAGCUAGAUUUGCAGCAUCCACACCAACACAGGGUCAAACCUCUGAUCCUACAAGACAAGAGCAAACUCAACACCCAUCAGGAACAACCCAGUUCACUGCCCCAGAAUUCGCUAAUCCUGCUGCCCAACCAGAAGCAUCUGGAGUAGAAUCCACAAAUCAAGAAGACAGGGCACCACAUAUUGAUGAGGUAAAUCAGGGAGACGAAUGGGAAACCCGUGUCCAACUUGGGCAUUCUACGACGGGAAAAAUGUUCUGGAACAUCGAUAGAAUGAAGCCAAAAGAAAUAUUGGCUUACUUUGAAAAGAUGGUAGCUUGGUAUGAAGGAGAAUGCCAACGAACUCCCCAGUUGAGCAGAAGAUCGGCAGCAAUGAGACUUGUUGCAGGAUUCGUUGGAUCAUUGAGAAGAUGGUGGGGAAGAAAGCUCAGCAGAGAACAAAAGGAAUUCAUACUCAGCAGAGAAGACCCUUGUGGAAGCUUGGUAGAAAAUCUAUCCUUGGAUUUUCUCGGCCAACACACAAGAGAAGAAGAAGUAGCUGAAAAACAAUUUCUCCAGAACAAGUGUUGUGAUGUCCGAAAGAUGGAAGAGUACUACCUAGAGCAAGAAAGGUUGUACUACAUCUUUGACAAACAAACUGACACCAUCCACAGAACAUUCGUGCUAAACAUGCCAGGCCCAGUAGCGGAAAUGAUGGAGGCUAAAUUCAAAGCUGAUGCAAUUGUUGAUUUAGCACAGCUUAGCCUUGCUCAGCUCUAUCAGAUAUCUAUGGAGCUGAUCCAAAGUCAUUGCAGAUCUCAAGACUUAAGAAGGCACAUGAAGCAGAUUGAGAAAUCCUCUCUGCAAAAAUUCUGUAAUGAGGAACCAAACAAAUUUGGUUGCCACCAUACAGACAAAAUGUGCUCUUGCAAGAACAACAGGCAGAAAAGGCCAAAGAAACCCUGGAAGCCCUACAAAGGAAAGAAAUACCGUUUCAUCAAAAAACGAAAACAAAAGAAAGGCUCGGGGAGAUGUUUCAUUUGCGGAAAGAAAGGUCACUAUGCCAAACAGUGCAAAUCCAAGAAAAGACUUCCAGCAAAACUUCUCCAGAUGAUCCAGCAGGAAGAUUUUGAUGAUGACAUCUAUACCUGGUCAGAUAGCCCUACGGUGUUGUAUACACAAUGGAUAAAUAUCCUCUUUCAGACGACGAUGAUACAGAUUCUCUUUCUAGCACUGACAGUGAUUCUGAUGAUGAUCCUGUCAUGACCAUCCAUGAGCCUCUCCAAGCUAACCUGGCAAUGGCCCCUGCCUCUCUCUUCAGACCACAUAUAAAGGUUAUCCUCAACCCAUCUGAGGAUAAACAGGUAGCACUCACUGCUCUUAUUGACACUGGAGCAAUGUGCUCAUUCAUUCGAGAAGCUUGUGUUCCUUCCACCUUUUAUGUUCCUACUAAGGUCUCGUUUGGCUCCGCUAGUGGAAGUAACUUCUCCAGUAAAAAGAUUACCCGGCCUAUAGAAAUCCAGCCCUUUAUGAUAAGGCAUGGCUUCUUUGCCUUUGAUUAUUCAGGCGAAGAUAUCUUGCCAGGCACCGACUUUUUAAGUCUGAUUGCCCCUUUUGCCUUCUUUCCCGAUGGCUUCUCUUAUACCAUUCGGAAUCCUCACACGGGCACCACUAACACUUUCUGGGUACCCUGGGUUGAAAAACAAUCCAUUUUUGGGGAGGGUGGAAAACUACAAAAUUACACCAUCCAUAAAUAUGAACCCCAAAUUAAAGAACUCCUUGAAUGCUGUGCAGAAGUGCCAAACCAGUUUUGGGCUAGAGAACAACAUUUUGUGUCUCUACCAUACAAGGAUGGAUGGACCAUGCCUCACCAGACGGCCUCUCAUCCAGGCAUUCCUCAUGACGAAGAACUAUGCAAAACAGAGAUCCAGGCUCUUAUGGAUCUAGAGCUCAUCAGGCCCUCUAAGUCUCAUUGGGCUAGCCCAGCAUUUUAUGUCAACAAGCAUUCAGAACAGAUACGUGGAAAAAAGCGAUUGGUAAUUCACUACAGAAAACUGAAUGAUUGCUUGCAGGACAUAAGAUACCCCAUUCCACGGAGGACACACAUUUUAAAACGCAUUGCUGGUGCAAAAGUGUUUUCAAAGUUUGACAUGAAGUCAGGCUUUUGGCAAAUUGGGAUUAAAGAAGAAGACAGACACAAGACAGCAUUUGUGGUCCCCCACGGGCAUUAUGAAUGGAAUGUGAUGCCUUUUGGCCUAAAGAAUACACCGUCAGAAUUCCAAAACAGAAUGGAUGAGGUGUACAAAUCUAUCUCAGGAUUUUGCCUUAUCUACAUUGACGAUGCUCUUAUCUUCAGCAACAGUGAAGAAGAACAUGCUGAACACCUGUCCCAAUUCAAGGCACUAACCUAUAAACAUGGGUUAGCUUUGUCAGAAUCCAAAAUGAAGAUAGGCCUUGAUGAGGUGGACUUUCUAGGAUUACACAUCAAGCAGAGAUUCAUCAUUCCUCAGCCACAUAUAGCUGAAAAAAUAUCCCAAUUCCCAGACCAGCUGUCAACCAGAAAGCAGAUCCACCAGUUCCUCGGGAUAAUCAACUAUGCAGCAGACCAUGUGCAGGAUCUGUCAAAGAUGACGAGAGUCAGAUAUCAAAGCACUUAAAGAAGAGUGCCCCACAAUGGUCGGAAGACGCAACAAAAGCAGUGACAGACUUAAAGCAAAAGUGCCAGUCACUUCCACCAUUAAAGAUACCUGACAAGGGACAGCUCAUCCUCCAGACAGAUGCAAGUGACCAUUAUUGGGGAGCACUGUUGAUAGAGGAAUCCGAGGGAAACAGAAAAGUGUGUGGCUAUAAAUCAGGCCAGUUCAACGAUGCUCAAAGCCACUACCCCUCCUCCAAAAAAGAAGUCUUAGCAGUUGUCAAAGGGAUCAAAAACUUUCAAUUCUUUCUUUCACUAACUCCCUUUGUGAUUGAAACAGACUACAAAUACCUACAGGGAUUACUCAGGAGAAAAGAAGGAGAAAUACCAGAUCCACAGCUUGCAAGGUGGUCUGAGUCUCUCUCGAGAUUCAAGUUUGAAGUAAAGCACAUCAAAGGAGAAUCCAACACUGUUGCGGAUUUCCUUUCCAGACCGAUCACCAUGAUCAAAAGAAGAAGCCUUCCAAAAAGAUGGGACGAAGGCAGUUCUAGUGCUCACGCAGCCCGAGCACACUUUCUCAAAGAUCUUAACAUCUUCAUUGCUUGGCUUCCUUCGGAAGUUCAAGAUGACAUCUUUGAGAAAGUCAUCUGCCACAAAAGAGAUCCAGAAGAUCAAGCUCUGACAUGGCGGGUAUGGCAGCUCAUGGCCAUGCAGGAACACAGACCUGCCCAUAACAAACAAUGUCAAAGAGCUUUUGAUCCACAUCCAAAUCCUGACCAGAUGCAUGAAACGGUCUUCAAGGUCGGUUGCACCUUCCACUAUGUAAUAGACGAGAACUCCAACUGGGGUCACUAUGUUAUCUGCGAUAUAACCCCUCAAGCCUAUUACAUAACUUGGUACUGGCCCAACAUUUACCCAGUGGCAAUCCUGUUUGAACCACAUCUGAUCCAUACCAGCAGGAGAUAUGGGAAGGGAAGAUGGUUCGACCGAAUGUUCGCUCCUAUCUUCGAAGACAUCCUAACACUCCGGCUAAUCAACGGAUAUCACAUCACUCACUCUACUAUAGUGAUUGUGAAACUCACAGAUAUCUGGGGAAGAUACAAGCAGCCUCUUGUGCAGGUGGUCCAGCAUGACCUCAACCAUGAAGAAAUUGAUUCCAUGUGGACAGGCUGUUGGAAUGCUAGAAAAGCUUUAGCUGAGGUAUACGGAACUAUUCCAAUGUAUAAUACUCAUAGCCCCGUAUCUUCACAAGUCUGCAGUACUCCGGACCUCUACUACAGAGAGGAGAUCAGGAAUCUCAAGCUUCAUGGAGAAGAAGAUGAAGCAGCAGACUUGCAGCAGUGGUAUAAUGAUUACCUCACUCGCCAUGGCAGGCCAAAAGAAGUCACUUAUCUGGACACUCCAGAUAUUGAAAGAUGGAGGAACGAGCUUGAAGAAAUGGCCCAUUGGCUAGACCUCCAAGAUUGGCCCCAACCUGAGUUAGACCCCCAGCCGGAUAACAUUGAAGAUCCCAUAUGGCCAAAUAUGGGAGAAGAUAUGGAUGCAGCAUCCGAAGAACGAUGGAACCACAGGUCAGGACGUAGCACACCAACAAGUGGCAACUCUGGACUAUAGCGGAAGCUUAGUGGACCCUACAGUGGAAGCAAUGGUGAUAAUAAUAUAUGUAUUUGCAUUCGUAUGUAUUGUGUACCAUCCUUUGUGAUAAGGAUGAGAGUGUGAGUGUGACAUAAAGUAAGGAGUGAGUUGUAAAGUAGAUUCCUUAGAGAUAAGGAUCAAUAAUGACUACAGUGUGUAAUAGUGGUUCCCUUGUGCCUAUAAAAGGGAACCCUUGGUUUGUAUCUAGGCAUCGAGUCUUGGAGCCUAAAUCUAGUGUAUUGUAAAUCUCUCAUUCCUCUUAAUGAAGUAACCUUCCUCUGUUCUGAAAUAAACCCAUUUCAUGGUUAGACCAUUGACCUGAAUUAAUACCUUAAUGGCAUCUGUGAGAGAUGGCUUGUGUAUGUCAAGGGUGAAGUUGGGUUCAACUUGGAGAACAACAUGACCUUGGUUGAGUCCUGCUUCGACAGCAAUGAGAAGAAAAUGCACUUUUUGGAAUCUCAGGCUGAAGGAUUUUUGGUGCUUUAACUAAUCUCAUUUGACAAUGUAAAUAUAUGGCUUCAAUUUCUUUAAAUGUAAUAGCAAGUGUUGUUUUCGACCUCUGUUCUUUUAUGCAUUGCUUACAUGCCGUGAUUUCAUUAACCUAAAUUUAAGAACUGUUUGAGGGAAAUACAUCGAGGAGACCAGACGUGAUGAGCAGGUGUUUGGUGGUGGAGUUCUGCGAGCAGGAAUAUUCUCCUCGUCCACGAAUAUGCCAUUCGCGAGACCGAAUUCAUGUUAGAGGCAUAAGGUCAUUCCUGCUAAGGGUCGAGGCGAGGAGACCCGGUCAACGGCAGUUGGCAAGACGUGCCUUCCUAUCCGAGAAUCAAGGCACGAGGUCCAUCUCCAUUUGCCCACAAUGACGACAAUGGGGCAUCCACAUCCGAGGGUGGGGAGAAUAACGGGCGUAAACUGCGGAAGAUCGGGACUCAGAGGAAGCCUAUAAAAAGGUAGCCAACAAAGGUAAAAGGGUUAGAUUUUUUGCUAUUUGAACUAAGAAAAUAGAGAACUCGAAGGUCUGAGAUUAGUGAAAAGCCAUAAGAUCCGUGGCAAGCAUUCCCAGAACCUUCAUAUCUGACUUGAGCGUCGGAGGGUUUACGCCGGGAAAACAACCGGCGUGCUCUGACCUGUUUCUGUGGACGCAAGGAUACUUAGAGAAGAAAGCGUACGAGGAGAGAUCCUGAUCGAGGUGAGGUUGAUCGAGCAGACAUCCUGGUCGUUGGAAGGUGUAACCAGAAUCUCGCAUCAACAAGAACAAUUUCAUAUAAUUUUUUUUCUGCUUUUCUUUUAUCAUUUAAAAACAAUACUACGCACACACACACGCAUAUAUUUCAGAAAGCAUUUAAACAAAGCAACCGAACGUUGCUGGUUUCUAUUAUUACAUCGACAACAAUAAAGCAAAGAAGCAACUGAAAGUUAUCUUCAUAUGAGAAUGAAAGCUUUUCAGCAGCAUAAACCUUUCACUAUUCAAUUCCAAACAUGUUCCUCAACAUGAUAACAAAUUCGUAGACCUUUUCUAGGUCUAGAAGGAUCCUGGCAACAGUAUCUCUUUGCAUGCACUUGUUCAUCCAUGCUGAGAAUUUGGGGCACUCAUUCUCAAGCUUAAAUCCCCCAAAUUUCUCAACCGCGUAAAACCAACAAGUCAGUGGAAUGGAAAUGACAUCAACGAAUCCAAAGCUAUCCCCGCCAAAGAAAUCCUUCUCCCCUAAAGCGCCCUCAAGUUGCUUCAAAAUCUCUAUAAAUUCAUUCUUCGCGGUCUCUGGGACCUCGCCCUUGCUUUUCCAUAUGUUGCAUACUGCAUCGAAUACCUGCCAAAAAAGUGGUGUCAUCUUUUAAGUUCACAUUUAGAAAGAUACAAACAUUUACACUUGAGAAUUAUAGACUGACCUUCUUGUCAAUAAAAUCUUGCCUUAGCUCUCUCAUAAGCACAGGAUGGGAGAAGUGGUGGCGAAGGCCAAGUCUCGUCAAUGUAGUUAACUAUAAUAGUGGAUUCACACAAUGGUUUCCCAUCGUGCAGCAAAACUGGGACUUUCUUGUAGAUGGGUUUGAUUUGAGCAACAGGUCACUCUUGCCCCCAAACAAGUUCUCAGCUCUGGCUUCAUAUUCAACUCCUUUCUCAGCCAAUGCAAUCUUUGCUCUCAAGCAAAAUGGGCUAGCCCAACAAUCCAAAAGAACAACCUCUCCCUUCGACAUAUUCACUUUCUUUGUUCUUGUUUCUUUUACUUGGUUGAUAGUAAUUAAACCUUGAGUAUCAAGGUUGGCAUUUAUAAAGGAUAAAAGAUGAAAUUCCCAAAGUUUGUGUCGCAAUCAACGUUUGUUCGUUGGCACUUCCUUAAAGGAUGUGGCAUUAUUCUUAUCAUUUCUUAGUUUUUGAAGCUAACUGUUUUACUUGGCUUUCAACAUGCACAAGAACAAGUUUGUCUUGUGCAUACGGAGUUUACUAUGGACAAGCCGAAUUGUAAGUAACCAUUUACACUAAUCAAUCGGUAUUGUCCAAUGAAAAUAAGUAAUGUAAACUUAUCAAAAAAAAAAGUAAUGUAAAAAGUGUCUAGGAUUUUGCCUAAUAUUUCUUAAAAUAGGCUAAUUAAGCCCAAUUCUGGUGCUAGAUUGGUUCAACUUUGAAUCAAACUUGGAAACAUUUUGCUUUAGAUUAUUAUUAUUAAUUUAGAAGAGUCAAAAAGCUAAGAGUAUCGUUGGUAAAGCUCAAACAUGUGUAAUAUCACAUAUUACUUCUUUUUUUUUUUUAUACAAGUAAUAUCACAUAUUACUAGUGAGUGAGUUUCAUAAACUUUCCUAUUGAAAAAGACACAUUUUGGGUUGUAAAUCCUAACACAAUAUUUAUUCAGUUGUUGAGCCUGAAAUAUUACAGAUAUAUCAAAUAUUAUUUGAUGUGGGCGCACAACCCUGCGUCUUCUUAAUUAGGACAACCAAUGAAACCCUGCGUCUUCUUACAUAACUUGUAUGUACACAUUGGCGGGAUAUCCCAAUUAUGUACUCGUUUGUCUUCAUGUGUUUUAAAAAAAUCUAUUGUAAUGGAUAUAUUGUAAAUUUAUCUAAUUGCUUGUUAUAAUGCUUCUAUUGCGGUGUUAUUCGAGCUGUCAUUUUCAGUUUUAUUUUGUUUUUUCUUUAAACAUAGUUAAUUUGAAAUCCAUUACACUUGAAUCAUCAAAUAAGUGAUUCUCGAACAUAAUUGCUGUUGUUACUCGAAUAAGAAAAGAAAACAAAGUAUAGCUAAGAUAAAAGCAAAUGGAAAUGAGAGCAACGUGAUUUUGCAAAGAGAACUUCACACUAUCAUAAAACCAAAAACAUUAAAAUUUAAAACUUAAAUAACAACACACCAAAGCCAAAUAACGACCCACUAGAAUCAUGGUCCAAAGAUUGUACCAUGAUCACAACAUGAACUACAAAAAAAUAACCAACACCUGAAAAGUAGGAACAGUUUGAAACUUUCAACUAAAGUGGGAAAGACCAGGAUGGCACUGCAUGCCCAGCCCACCAACAUUAAAUGCUUUUUUCCCUUAUAAUUUAUCAGUCACAUAAUUUAGAGUGAAGACUUUAAUGCUGUGUUUACUUGCUGGAGUGGGAGUGAGGAGUGUGGAUUCCUCCCACUCCAGCGUUUACUUUCUCUGAAUGGGAAGGGAGUGGGAAUUCCACUCCGUGGGCCCCACCCAUUUUUGGAGUGGGGAGUGGGAGUGGGACUCCCAUAUUCCCACUCCCACCUCUCCCUUUUUUACCCUUUUAUUUUUUUAAUUUAAUUUAAUUUAAUAUUUUAUAAUUAAUAAAAUAAAAUAAAUAUUAUUAUAUUUAUUUGAAUAAUAAUAUUAUAUUUAACUAAAUAAUAAUUUGCAUUGAUUCUAAGUUAAAAUUAUUUUAAAAUAAUAUUAUUAUAUUAAUAGAGAAUUAAUAAAUAUAAUAUUAUUAUAUUUAUUUUAAAAAUAAUAGUACUAUAUUUAUUUAAUAUUAAUAAAUAGUUUAUUCUAAGAAAAUAUUAAUUUUGUACUAAAUAAUAUUAUAUUAUUAUUUUAUAUAAUAAUAAAUUUAAUAUAAUUAUAUUAAAUAAAAUAAGGUUUCAUUUUGUAUUAAAAUUAAUAAUUUAUUGUUGAUAAUUAAGAAUAUUAAUAAUUAUAAUAAAUUUACAAAUAUAAUAAAAUAAAUAUUAUUCAUUAAAUAUAUUUUUUAUUAGUUUUGUAAUUAAAAAUUAUAAUUCUUUAAAUAAGAAUAAAAUUGUAAUUUGAAACUAUUUACUCCCAAUCCAAGACAAAGUAAACACAUAAAUUGGAUUUUGAUCUCUAUUCCAUGCUUCCAUUCCAGUGUAAGUAAACAACCUACUCUCACUCCCACUCCACACUCUCAAUCCUAGGAUUUCCACUCCUCAGGAUUCCCAAUCCAAUCCAAAAAGUAAACGCUACCUAAAAGCAAAUAAAUGAAUUGGCUGAAUCUAGCUAGGAUGCCAGGAUGGGCACGGAUCCACAGAUAACAAGUAACAGUCUUUAAAUCUUCUGUUGUAAGUUCUUACGCCCCUUUUUUUUUAUACGACGAACCCCCGAUUCUACCCUCCAAAAUCAACAAUAGAGAAUUUAGUCUUAGCCUCUCAAGAUGCACUCAAACCUAAGGAUGGCAAUGGAUCAGAUCUGACCCAAGAUCCAUGUGAUCCAAAUCCAAUUGGAUCGAAUUUGGGUCGGAUUAAAAUAGAUUUGGAUCGGAUUUGGAUAUCGAUGCGUGGAUCUAAGGCGGAUCUGGAGCAAAUUCAGAUUUAUCUUAAUAUCUAUAUCCAAAUCCAUAUCCACUCACCAUUUAAUGUAAUUUUAUUUUAAAAAAUUCUUAACAAUUAUGUAAUUAUAAAUGAUGAUAAAAUUUAUUCAUUAGCAUGUAUUUAAGAAUCUUAAAACUUAAAGGUACUUAAUUGAUAAUAAGAUAAAAAUUUAUCAAGUGUAAAAUAAAAUUAGGAUAGUCUGCCCUAAUUUUUUUAAGUUUUUCACUCUACAAUUUAGUCUCUUUUUUCCUCUUUAGUCUACUCUCGCUUCUCCACUUCAUUUGAAUGCUUGGAUCAGUUCUUUAAUUGUUAGGAAAAUCCAUAGACUUGAGUUUAUUUUUCUAUCAUUUUCUCAUAAUCUUAUUUAUUUUGUAUAAUCACUAAUCAAUGGUGGCUAUCAACUAUAAAAUAAUUAUGUUAAUCAUAUAUUUAGUUAAAUAUGAUCAUAAUAAAAAUAAUAAAGCACUGAAUAUAAUAAAUCAUUUUUAACUUAUAUGUUAUUAUUUAAUGAUAUAGGAAUGAUGAUGGUGUGCAGUGGAUAUCAAGAUAGUAAAUGAGACAUUAGAAUAUUAUAAUGAUCUUAUUCAUGCAAUUACUUUUUAUCGAUAUUUUAUUAUCUUUUUUAUUUGUUUAUUUUGGUGUAAAAGCAGAAGCUACAAUACUUAUUAGAUUUUUUGUACAAAUUAUAUAAUUUAAUUGUUACCAAUGCAUUUUAGUCUUAAAUUUUUUUUCUAAAAAAAAUUGAUCUCUUAUUAUUGAGAUUUAGAAUUCAUGAUGGAUCUAGAGCAUAUUUAGAUUGUAAUUUUUCAAUUUGGAUUUGGAGCAGAUAUAGAUCUUUAUUUUUGUUUCGAAUCUAGAUAUGGAGCGAAAAUAUAGAUCCAUAACGGAUCUGGAGCAGAUACAGAUCUUAAUUUUUAUUACGGAUCUGGAUAUGGAGCAAUGUAGAUCCAAUCCAUAUCUGCUCCAUUGCCAUCCCUACUCAAACCUUGAGUAUGGUUUUUACUUACGUAUUAUCGAUUAUGAUUUUAACUAAUCUCUCUUGUCAACGAACUUUUGGUUGAUUAUGGACGCCUUUUUUUUUUUAAUCUAAACAAUAUAAGAUUUCGUACAAAUUGAAUUUGUAUAGACCUCAUCAUUUGGAACUUGUGUUGUAUCCAAAAAUAUCACCCAACCCAAAGAAAAUAAGUUCAAUUCUAUAACUCAUUCAUUUUUCUUAUAGCCCAAUGGAUUGAGAGAAUAGGCGUCAGAGGAAACUUUAUUUCAAUAUAUAAAUAUAGGCUUGCAUACAAUGCAAAAUCAUAUAUUCGAACCAAUAGGCGAAGCAUUGUCCCUCGUUGAUCCACAUGAGCCAACUAGUCAAAGUGGAUCCACAUGAGCCACUUUACAGACUGGGCAUGCAUUGCAACUGUUCAUUUUUGCUUCUGCCAAUAAAGAGUUGAUAGUAACCAAAGAUUGUAUUCUUUAUUGUCAUUUGAGAGUAACCAAUUACUUAGGCAGUCACGUAAGUUGCUGGUUGGCCUCGCACAUUUUUGACCAGCUUGUUUCUGAAGGAAACCAGCUGAGCUGCAACCUCUUCCAUGCUCAUUCGUUCUCUCGGCAACUCUGAAGAGCAAGUGACUCCGAUUGCCAGUACUGAAACCAAGCACUCUUUAACACUAAAACUUCUGGUCCAUUGUUUGUGAGCAUUGGCCUUGCUUGUCUCCCCUUCUUCUCUUUCUACAAGAAGCACUGGAUCAACAAUUUCAGCGAGUCUUUCAGGAAGAGCUUCCUUGACAAAAUUAUGUAGGGUUAGAUUGCCUGUAAACAUCUCAUUCGUCGGCCCCUUUCCUGUAAACAUUUCCAGCAAGAGUAUUCCAAAACUGUACACAUCUCCACUUGUUGAGACUUCGCUCCCCAUUCCGUACUCUGCAAUUCGAAAACUAAAAUUGUUGGUUCAACUAGUAAAAUCUCUAAGGAUUGAAAGACAAGUUAAUUAAAUUAUUGUAUUUACCUGGUGCAGCAUAACCAACGGUUCCUUUUACUCCAACAGAGCUUGAUUGAUUAGAUGACAAGUUAUUGGUGGCUUCCGGAAGGAAUUUUGCUAAUCCAAAAUCACCUACAUGGGCAGUCAAUUCACCAUCCAGAAGAACAUUGCUUGGCUUGAGAUCACAAUGGACUAUUGGAGUUUCGCAAUAAUGAUGAAGAUAAUCCAAUGCGGAAGCAACAUCAACGGCAAUAUUCAGUCUUUGCAGGAGAUUUAAGUUCCUUGGUGCCUCAGCGUUCGGAUGCAACCAUUCCUCCAGGCUCCCGUUGACCAUGAACUCAUAAACUAAAGCCUCGAAAUCAUUUCCUUGGAAGUCAACACUUGCACAGGAAGUUAUUAUUUUGACAAGAUUCCGAUGCCUAAUACUCCUCAAGGCUUGACACUCCGCUAUGAAACUCUUUGAAGCUCCACGAUGCUGAAGAUUAAGUACCUUAACUGCCACCAGCGUUUCAUGAUCAUCGUGACUGAGGAUUCCUUUAUAGACCGAACCAAAGCUACCGGCACCAAUCAAGUUUUCCAAAGAGAACCCAUCAGUUGCUUUGAACAGAUUCUCAUAGGACACUCGUAAAACCGAAGCCAAGAAUGCUGAUGGAGUGGCCGGCUCCCUUUUUGAUUUGCUCCGCCAGGAAGUAAUUAUAAAACACGACAUCCCUGUCACUAACAAAAUUACUGUAACUACAGGAAUCAUCAGUUUCAGGGAACGGGAACGUGACUGCUUGGAUUCUUUGAUGGAACAAGUAGAUAAAUGCAACUCAGAUAUGCCACCACAGAGGUUAUCAUUUCCAUCAAGAGAUAUAGCACUUGAAUUGCUGAAGACUCCUUUUACUGGUACUUCACCCUCAAAAUGAUUAAAAGACAGAUUUAAAUUCUGCAAAAAGGGAAAGUUUUCCAAAUAUUUUGGAAUCCGGCCGGACAAAUUGUUCCGCGAAAGAUCAAGAUUCUCAAUGCCUCUCAAAGAACUGAAUGACGAAGGUAUAUUCCCUUGAAAGAAAUUACCAUUCAUGAUGAGUUGCACCAACAAAAUGCAACUUCCUAAACUACUUGGAAUUUCACCAGACAAUUUGUUCUCAGAUAUAUCUAUAAAACCCAGAUUUUUCAAGAUACCAAAAUUUGAGGGCAUAGGACCAUUCAACUGGUUUUGAGAUAGAUCAAGAUAGAUUGACAAGGAAGAGAGGCCAAUUACUUCAGUGGGUAUGGUACCACUGAGGUUGUUAUUAGAAAGAUUUAAUGAUAUUAAGUUUUGGCAUUUCCCCAGACUUGAUGGAAUGCUUCCCUCUAACAUGUUUUCCUCAAAAUUUAGUGUAGUUAACAAUGUCAAAUUUCCUAUAGAAGAUGGAAUUUCCCCCCAAAACUUGUUCCCCUUCAGGCCCAACCUCUGCAGCUUUUGAAGAUCUCCUAUACUUUCCGGAAUUCGGCCUGUGAAUUUGUUGCCCCCCAGAUGUAAAAGCUCCAAGUUAACAAGAUUUCUUAAUCCACUUGGGAUAUUUCCGAACAACUGAUUGUUUCCAACUGAUAAUAUUGCAAGUCGGUUUGACAAGUUCCCUACUGUUUCAGGUAACAUUCCACCAAAAUUGUUAUCACUAAUUUGCAGUAGCUCUAGUCUAGAAGCGUUAACCAAAGAAUUGACAAAUUCCAAGUUAUCUUUUUCCCCAUAAUUUCCUAAGUGAUUCUGAGAAAUACUAACCCAUUGGAGUUUAUGUAAAUUUUCCAAACUAGGCACCCUUCCACUGAAUCCAUUCUUUGCGAUUGUAAGUCUCAUUAGAUUUGAGGCAUUGGAUAUUGAAGCCGGAAUAGGUCCGGUAAACUGAUUACCACCAACGUUUAGUACUUCAAGUUUAGGAAGAGUGAAGCCUAAGUCUGAUGGAAGGCUUCCUUGAAGUUGGUUAAAAGGAAAAUAAAAACCACUAAGCCAAGACAAGUUGUAGAUUGAAAAGGGGAUUUCACCUGAUAGCUUAUUUGCUCCAAACGAUAUAUAACGCAUCAUCUUAAGCUCGCUCAGGGUUUCAGGAAUUUGUCCCACAAAUUGAUUUGCAGCUGCUGAGAGGACCUGGAGUGAUGACAAAUUGCCGAAGGAAGGUGGGAUUUCUCCUGACAAAUUGUUGGAGUGUAUUACGAGAAUCCGGAGCUUUGGUAAGGAGCCCAGUUUCCCUGGAACUUUCCCCACUAGCUCAUUGAAGUCUAACCAGAGGGAUUCAAGGUUAACGCAAUGCGAUAUGUUGUCAGGAAUUUGACCUCCGAAUGUAUUGUUGUCCAGCCUUAAAAUUCGUAACCUGAACAGAUAUCCAAUCGCUUGAGGGAUUUCGUUGCGGAGGCUAUUGUUUUUUAGAUCUAACACUCUGAGAAAACUCAAAUUACCAAUGUGAGGCGAAAGAGACCCCUGCAAGAGUAAAGAUGGAAGACGUAAUCCAGUCACCCUUUGGUGCCGUCGACUGCAAGUGACACCUUUCCAUUGACAAAAGUGCCUGGAAUAGUUCCAUGAACUCAAAACCUCAAGAGGGUCAUGAGUAACUUUGGCCUUGAAUUCAAGCAAUGCAAGUUGAUCAGUUUCAUUGCUUUUGAGCAUAUAAUCGGUUGACUGCAAGCUGAAGCUGACGCAACAGAAAAUAAAGAAACAAAUGCUUACAAUGAUUGAACUCAUCAUGUUUACAAAAUCCAUUUAACUGCCGAAAGGAAAUUAAAAUGAUAAAACUUUUAUAGAGGUUGGUAAGAUAAACUAUGUUUGUAUAUUUUUUGCAAUGAUUUAUGGACUCUGUACUUGAUGCUCAAAUGUGAACCGGCUGGCACCGUGACAGUGAAACUAAUGCUUUUUAUUUUUCUAAUAAUAUUAAUUAUCAAAUUUAUUACUAUUGUAAGAAUAAUAUAAUACAGCUUUUCCUUUAAGGAAGACCCGCCACACUAACUUUUGACGCUCUAUCAGUUUCCAGUAUUUUGUCAUUUUGUAUUGUAGUGCUUAAUCCACAAUGAAUAUAAAACAAUUUAAUCAACAUUAUUAGAAAAAGAAAAAAAGUAGGAGAAGAAAGUUAAGUAUGAUGGAUGGAGGGUCAGAUUACUGUUAAAUGACUUAAAGGUUUAAAGCACCACAGGAAUCAACGUUUCACAACGCUUUUUUCCCUUUCUGAAAUAUUCGGUGCAUUAGUUGACUAGAAUUAUAAUAUAUCAAACAACUACAAGAAAUAUUUUAAUUUAUCAUUUUACUAUUAUAUAUUUACAUAACUUAUCAUUUUACUAUAUUUCCGUAGUACCAUUAGUUGACUAGAAAAAUGUUAAUUUUACUUUUGAAAAAAAACACAAAUGGAUAUAUUAAAUAUUUUUAGCUACUUUUUAUUUUGAAUUUAUAAUGUUGUAAUACUUUGUGUUAUUAUUACUUUUUAUUUUGCAAAAACAAAUUAUAUAAAGAGAAAAAUUAAUAUUUUAUCAAUUAACUAAUUGAUCUAUAUUAAUUGAAAUAUAAUAAAUUAAUAUUUUAUCAAUUAACUAAUUGAUCUAUAUUAAUUGAAAUAUAAUAAAAUAAUAUUUUAUUUUUAAAUAUAAUAAAAUAAUUUUCCCAUGAAAGAAAAUGAUGAGUUGUUUCAACGUAAUGCAGCUGCCUAGACUACAUGGAAUUUCACCAGGCAAUGACAAUUUAUUCUCAGAUAAAUCUAACGCCACAACAUUUAUCUAGUCACCCAAAUUUGCAGGCGUUCGUUUUGAGACUUGUCAAAACUUUUUCCAAAAAUUCGGGAUUCAGGUCAUAUCAGGCCGGUUAUGUUUUGAAAAACUUGUAAAUUAUCAGUGAUCAAACUUCAAAACUUUGCAAAUAGGUCAAAAUACGGAAAAAAACUUGAUAUAUUAUUGAAUACUCAUUUUGUUUUGCAUUAAUAUAACGCUAUGGGUGAUAUCUAGUUCUGUUGGUAAAAUUUCUUGGGUUGAAAACAAGAAAACUAGCAUUUCAAACUCACUCAUAUGGAUGGGAAAGAAAUUUAGUUAUUAUUGGAUUAAAAAAUAAUAAUGAGAAUUAGAAAAAAAUUAUAAGGCUUCAACGAGAUUUGCUAAUCAUGUAUAGAUUAAUAUGGAGAUUAAGAACAUCACCUAAGCUAAUUAUUGAACUUGAAAGUUUAGGAGAAAAAAUUAUAUGGGUUUGGCCAUCAAUUUAGCAUUCGGAACUUAUUGUUUAGGAAGCUACGGCGGGUUUCGUAGUGGGACUUAUCCUCUUUAAUGCAUAUGGUGAUUUUAAACCAACAUAUAUAUAAUCCUAUUAUAAAACUCAUCAAACCUUCUAAAAUAACAUGUUGAGAUAGUGUGCUAGAUCCAUAUAAAUAUUUCUCCAACUUCUUAGCUUGAAGCGAUAUUCAUUUCCAUUGAUAGUUUAAUGGGCAAAGCCUUUUGAAUUCUCCAUGUUAUCAAGUUAACUUUUGCUGGAAAAUGCAAUGCGGAUAUGAAUAGAAUUUUUUGUGCAAACAAUUUUUCUAUGUUGACACAUCCUCUGGAACUUUCAGUAAAUUUUAUGGAGAAGCUUCAAUUUCUUGGUUGUUGAUUUCGAAUACAUUAAGCUCUUAUUUGGUAUUAAAGUAUUGUGGGCUAAAAGCUAUAGUUUUUAUGGAAAGAAAUUUGUAAUUGCGAAAUAAAAGUUGAUUCAGUGUGAUAAAUAUAAUUUCAGAAUAAAAAAUAAAGUAAACUUCGAAAUUAUAAUAGUAAGUAUUUAUUAAAUACUUUAGUGUUGCAGUAACUGUUUACUACAAUAUCAAAUAGGGGGCUAGUACAACAAGUUGUUAUAUUAAAAGUCUCCCAAAAAGGAAGAAGUGACUUAAAAAAUUAAAAGAAUGCAGGAGCUGAAGUUGGCAAUUUUGUAAAUUGCAAUGGCGAUUGUGAUAUAGUAAAAUCCUUCAAUGAAUCACAGCACUAGCGAUUUCGUAAUAUACAGUAGCGGCAAUUUUGUAAAAUUGAAGUAGUGAUAGUUUUGCAAAUAAAAGUAAAAACUUUUUCCCAAAAUUUGGCUGAGCAAAAAGCCAGCUUAGCCCACACUCUCCUUCGCCACUGGUUGAUGAGCUCUUCCUUCAAUUUUUGAACUUGAAGUGAUGCCCCAUCAACGUCCAGAAUUUUUAAAGUCUCCCCACUGUACAAGUUAAACAAUAAAGUCAGAAUGAUGACGGAGUUACAAACAAUCAAAUAUGAUCCUAAUGAUUCUUUUUAUACACUCACCCGUGCAUUGAUGUGUUUAAUUGAUAUAUAUUUAAGCAGAAAUUGAAGUUUGAACCUGAUUAAUUAGAUGCGAACACACAUUCAUGAGUAAUUACUUAAAAUUAAUUAACCAAAAGAGUAAAUAUAGGAGGAAAUCGAUCAUAUGCGUGCGGACACCACAAUCGAAUUAUAUAUUUAUAUCACCACAGCACAUAAAUUUUAUUCGAAUGAUAUAUGAUUAAUUAAUCAAUUUUUAAUAACAAUUAAAUUAUAAUGUCAAUUGUGCACAUAAGAUUUUUUUUCUUGAUGAAAUUAUGAAAGUUAGUAAUUAUUUUCCAUUUUUUAAAUAAUAGUUGUUAAUACAAAUCAAAAAAAUAUUGGGACUUGAGAUCAGGGUCUACUUGAGUUAGAAUUUUUUAUUAGAGAAGCUAUUAGCCAGCAAUACAAAAUAAAGAAGCAACACAAGAUAAAGAGUAAUAUAUUAUAGAAAGAUUUUAUUCGUUUCAAGUGUGUAUCAAACAAAGAGAUAUUUAUAGUUACAUAAUUACUACAUGAAAUUAAUGAAAACAUUAUGGAUCAUACUUCCUUGCGAGAUAGUGAAAGUUAUAGAGAAGGCAAAGGUUGCUAGUGGAAGAUAGUAGAGAGAUUAAGAGAUGUAUGUUAUAAACAUCCAGAUUUAUUUUAAUAAAUUCAUAGCAUUUUUUCCCCUCAAAUAAUAGGGUGUAGAGAACAAUUGGAAGGAGUUUACGCAGCCUAUAAAUUAAUACUCUGACGAAUUAAUAUCCUCUAUUAUAUAAUGACUUUUUUUAAGCACACUAAUAGGCUAAAAUGACAGUUCCAAUAAAUAAAUAAAAUAAUAUAUUUUUUUUGAAAACCCUUACAUAAUAUUGUGGUCCUACUCAUAUCAUAAAUUAAUAAUUUUUAAAUUAUAUAUAAUUAUUACACAUAAAUUAUAUAUUUUUUAAUAAAUUCAUAAUAUUUUUUCUCAAAUAAUAGGGUGUAGAGAACAAUUAGAAGGAGUUUACAAGACUCGCCUAUAAAUUAAUACUCUGGCGAAUUAAAAUCCUCUAUUAUAUAAUAAUUUUUUUUAAGGUUGCUAGUAGGCUAAAAUGAUAGUUCCAAUAAAUAAAUAAGAUUAUAUUUUUUUUUAAUGAAAACCCUUACAUUACAUUAUGGUCCUACUCAUAUAAUAAAUUAAUAAUUUUUAAAAUUACAUAUAUAAUAUUUUAUUUUAAAAAUAUGAUUUUAUUUUUUAUUAUUUUUUCUUGAAAUUUAAAUAUAGUUAGAUUUCAUCUCUAAUUUUUCUUAUUACUUUUGAGGUUAAAUUUUGAAAUUGCAAAAAUUUUGAAUUUUUUUGGUUAAUUAAAUCUGCAGUGAGUGUAUAAGAUGAUUAGAUUAGUAAAAUAUAAUAAAUUUUUAGUUGAUUAAAUAUAUGUUCAUUUAAUAUGUCUUGUGUAUACAGAGUUUACUAAGGACAAGCCGAAUAGUAAGUGAGCAUUUACACUAAUCAAUCGUGUUGAGUUGUGUCUCAUAUUGGCUAGUAAAGGGGAGAUACUUGGGUUUAUAAGAAGGUAUGUCACUCCACCUAAAAGACUAGUAUUUUGGGUUGGAUACCUAGAAAUCUUAUGUUAAGUCCCCUCAACAAAUCGGUAUUGUGCAAUGAAAAUAAGUAAUCUAAAAAUUGCCUAGGAUUUUGCCUUAUAUGUCUCAAAAUAAGCUAAUUAUGCCCAAUUAUGGCACUUGAUGGUUCAACUUUGACAUCAAAGUUGGAAACGUUUUUCUCUAGGGUGAGGCUAUUUGCACUUGAAUAUCUACUUUGAACACUCAUUUACUCAGCGCACUCAAUUAAUAAUUUCAAACUAUUAAAUUUUACUUGGAACACUCUUUUGAAUUCCUAUAUUAUCCACAUUUCUUUAAUUACUUUAUUUCUUCUUUGUACCCAAUAAAAUAUUCAUCAUCACAAACAAAAUAUCUAACUUUUUUUUUCCAUUUUUAUUCACUUUUAUUUUCUGUUCAUAAUCUGUUUUGAUAUGUAUUUGUUCUUCUCUUAUUGCUACAAUUUAAUUCUGUUUGUCAACCCAUAAAAGCAUGCGAAUUGAGUGAAAAUCAAAGUGCAAAUUUAAAACAAAAUCCUUUGAUUUACUUGCGUUUUCUUAUGUUGGAGUGGUGCAAUUUGUUGUUUGUCCUCCACCUCUAUUUUUAAUUCCUUUUGUUUCAGUUAUAAAGAUGAUCAUGAACAUGUUACUUGAUGUUUUCCUAGCAAUUCUAUUAACCAAAAAAAUGAAAAAAAAAAGUUUAGUCCAUAAGUAUAGACAAUGUUUUCAUUUGAAUAUUGAUUCAAUUCUUCGUUGUUAAUGUGGUUUAUUGUAGAUAAAAUAUAAUGUUAGAUAAAAAUUUGUUAUACUGUAUUUUAUAAUUGUCCUUAAUAGAAAAUUACAUUAAGGUUAAUUUAGUAAUAUAAAAAUUAUUAAAUGUGAGUGUCCAAAGUAAAUUUUAGAGUGCAUAUAGUCUCACCCUUUUCUUUGUGUUAUUAUAAUUAAUUUAGAAAGAGUUAGAAAGCUAAGAGUAUCCUUAGUAAAGCUCAAAUAUGUAAUACAUAUCACUAGUGAGUGAGUUUCAUAAACUUUCCUAAUUAAGUAGAUGAAUUUUGGGUUGUAAAUCCUAACACAAUAUCUAUUCAGUUGUUGAGCCUAAAAUAUCACAACUAAAUCGAUAUUGUCCGAUGUAGUCAUGCAACCCUACAUCUUCUUAGUUAGGACAAUUCAUGAAACCACUUAUUUGGGAUGUAGGAGAUGAUACAAAAUUUGUAUGUGCACGUUGGCUUAAUAUCCCAAUUACACACUCGUUUGUCUUCAUGUGCUCCGAAAAGAUCUAUUGUAAUGGAUAUAUUGUAUCUUUAUCAAAGUGCUUGUUAUAAUGAUUCUAUUGUGGUGUUAUUCGAGUUGUCACUUUUAGUUUUUGAUUAUCUUUUUUAAACAUAGUUAAUUUGAAAUGUUCUUUAAUAUCCAACACACUUGAGAUCAUCAAAUAAGUGAUUCCCGAACAUAAUUGCCUCUGAUCAUUUUGUUUGUGCCAAUAAAGGGUUGAUACAAACCAAAGACUUCUUGUCUUUAUUGUCAUUUGAGAGUAAUCAAUUACUUACGCAGUCACAUAAGUUACUGGUUGGCCUCGCACAUUUGAGAGUAACCAAAUGGAAAUGAGAGCAACGUGAUUUUCCAAAGAGAACUUCACACUAUCAUAAAACUGAAAACAUUACAAUUUAAAGCUUAAAUAACAACACACCAAAGCCAAAUAACGACCCACUAGAAUCAUGGUCCAAAGAUUGUUCCAUGAUCACAACAUGAACUACAAAAAAAAAAAAAAAAAAAAAACCAACACCAAAAAAGUAGGAACAAUUUGAAACUUUCGACUAAGCAACAUUUAUGAUCACAUCAGCAGUCCUAAACACAUCUUCUAACAAUUGCAACUGUUCAUUUUUGCUUCUGCCAAUAAACAGUUGAUAGUAACCAAAGAUUGUUGUCUUUAUUGUCAUUUAAGAGUAACCAAUUACUUACGCAGUCACGUUAGUUGCUGGUUGGCCUCGCACAUUUUUGACAAGUUUGUUUCUGAAGGAAAGCAGCUGAGCCGCAACCUCUUCCAUGCUCAUUCGUUCUCUCGGCAACUCUGAAGAGCAAGUGACUCCGAUUCCCAGUACUGAAACCAAGCACUCUUCAACACUAAAAUUUCUGGUCCAUUGUUUGUGAGCACUGGUCUCGCUUGUCUCCCCUUCUUCUCUUUCUACAAGAAGCACUGGAUCAACAAUUUCAGCGAGCCUUUCAGGAAGAGCUUCCUUGACAAAAUUAUGCAGGGUUAGAUUGCCUGUAAACAUCUCAUUCGUCGGCCUCUUUCCUGUAAACGUUUCCAGCAAGAGUAUGCCAAAACUGUACACAUCUCCACUUUUUGAGACCUCACUCCCCAUUCCGUACUCUGCAAUUUGAAAAUUAAAACUGUUGGUUCAACUAGUAAAAUCUCUAAGGAAUGCAAAAGAAGUUAAUUAAAUUAUAGUAUUUGCCUGGAGCAGCAUAACCAACGGUUCCUUUAACUCCAGUAGAGCUUGAUUGAUUAGAUGACAAGUUAUUGGUGGCGUCCGGAAGGAAUUUCGCUAAUCCAAAAUCACUUACAUGGGCAGUCAAUUCACCAUCCAGAAGAACAUUGCUCGGCUUGAGAUCACAAUGGACUAUUGGAUUUUCGCAGUAGUGAUGAAGAUAAUCCAAUGCGGAAGCCACAUCAACGGCAAUAUUCAGUCUUUGGAGGAGAUUUAAAUUCCUUGGUGCCUCAGGGUUUGGAUGCAACCAUUCCUCCAGGCUCCCGUUCACCAUGAACUCAUAAACUAAGGCCUCGAAAUCAUUUCCUUGAAAGUCAACACUUGCACACGAAGUUAUUAUUUUGACGAGAUUCCGAUGCCUAAUACUUCUAAAGGCUUGACACUCCGCUAUGAAACUCUUUGAAGCUCCUCGAUGUUGAAGAUUAAGCACCUUAACUGCCACCAGCGUUUCAUGAUCAUCAUCAUUGAGGAUUCCUUGAUAGACCGAACCAAAGCUACCGGCACCAAUCAAGUUUUCCAAAGAGAACCCAUCAGUUGCUUUGAACAGAUUCUGAUAGGACACUCGUAAAACCGAAGCCAAUACUGCUGAUGGAGGAGGGGCCGGCUCCCUUUUUGAUUUGCUCCGCCGGGAAGUAAUUAUCAAACACGACAUCCCUGUCACUAACAAAAUUACUGCAACUACAGGAAUAAUCAGUUUCAGGGAACGGGCACGUGAUUGCUUUGAUUCUUUGAUGGAACAAGUAGAUAAAUGCAACUCAGAUAUGCCACCACAGAGGUUAUCAUUUCCAUCAAGAGAUAUAGCACUUGAAUUGCUGAAGACUCCUUUUAUUGGUACUUCACCCUCAAAAUGAUUAGAAGACAGAUUUAAAUUCUGCAAAAAGAAAAAGUUUUCAAAAUAUUUUGGAAUCCGGCCAGACAAAUUGUUCCGCGAAAGAUCAAGGUUCUGAAUGCCUCUCAAAGAACUGAAUGAUGAAGGGAUAUUCCCUUGAAAGAAAUUACCAUUCAUGACGAGUUGUUCCAACCUAACGCAACUUCCUAGACUGUUUGGAAUUUCACCAGACAAUUUGUUCUCAGAUACAUCUAGAACACCCAGAUUUUUCAAGAUGCCAAAAUUUGAGGGCAAAGGACCGUUCAAUUGGUUUUGAGAUAGAUCAAGAUAGAUUGAUAAGGAAGAGAGACCAAUCACUUCAGUGGGUAUGGUACCAGUGAGGUUGUUAUUAGAGAGAUCUAAUAAUAUCAAGUUUUUGCAUUUCCCUAGACUUGAUGGAAUGCUUCCCUCUAACAUGUUUCCGUCAAAACUUAGUGUGAAUAACAAUGUCAAAUUUCCUACAGAAGAUGGAAUUUCCCCCAAAAACUUGUUCCCCUUCAGUCUCAACCUCUGCAGCUUUUGAAGAUCUCCUAUACUUCCCAGAAUUCGGCCUGUGAAUUGGUUGUCCCCAAGAUCUAAAAGCUCCAAGUUAACAAGAUUUCCUAAUCCACUUGGGAUAUUUCCGAACAAUUGAUUGUUUCCAACGGUAAAUCUUUUAAGUCGGGUUGACAAGUUCCCCACAGAUUCAGGUAACAUUCCUCCAAAAUUGUUAAUACUAAUUUCCAUCAUCUCUAGUCUAGAAGCGUUGACCAAAGAACUGACAAAUUCCAAGUCAUCUUUUUCCCCAUUUCCUAAGUGAUUCAGAGAAAAGCUAACCCGUUGGAGUUUAUAUAAAUUUUCCAAACUCGGCACCUUUCCACUGAAUCCAUUUUUCUGGAUUGUAAGUCUCAUUAGAUUUGAGGCAUUGGAUAUUGAAGCAGGAAUAGGCCCAGUAAACUGAUUAUUACCAAAGUUUAGUACUUCAAGAUUAGGAAGAGUGAAGCCUAAGUCUGAUGGAAGGCUUCCUUGAAGUUCAUUAACAGGAAAAUCCAAAAGACUAAGCGAAGACAAGUUGUAGAUUGAGAAAGGGAUUUCACCUGAUAGCUUAUUUGCUCCGAAUCCUAUUGAACGCAUCCUCUUAAGCUCGCUCAAGGUUUCAGGAAUUUGUCCCACAAACUGAUUUACAGCUGCUGAAAGGAACUCGAGUGAUGACAAAUUGCCAAAGGAAGAUGGGAUUUCUCCUGACAAAUUGUUGAAGUGUACUGCUAGAGUCCGGAGCUUUGAUAAGGAGCCUAGUUUCCCUGGAACUUUCCCCACAAGCUCAUUGAAGCCUAACCAGAGGGAUUCAAGAUUAACGCAAUGUGAUAGGUUGUCAGGAAUUUGACCUCUGAAUGUAUUUUUCUCCAGGCUUAAUUUUUGUAACCUGAACAGAUAUCCAAUCUCUUGAGGGAUUUCGUUGCGGAAGCUAUUGUUUUUGAGAUCUAACACUCUGAGAAAACUUAAAUUACCAAUGUGAGGCGACAGAGACCCCUGUAAGAGUAAAGAUGGAAGAAGUAAUGCAGUCACCCUUUGGUGCCGUCGACUGCAAGUGACACCUUUCCAUUGACAAAAGUGCCUGGAAUAGUUCCAUGAACUCAAAACCUCAAGAGGGUCAUGAGUAACUUUGGCCUUGAAUUCAAGCAAUGCAAGUUGAUCAGUUUCAUUGCUUUUGAGCAUAUAAUCGGUUGACUGCAAGCUGAAGCUGAAGCAACAGAAAAUAAAGAAACAAAUGCUUACAAUGAUUGAACUCAUCAUGUUUACAAAAUCCAUUUAACUGCCGAAGGAAAUUAAAAUGAUAAAACUUUUGUGGAGGUUGGUAAGAUAAACUAUGUUUGUAUAUUUUUUGCAAUGAUUUAUGGACUCUGUACUUGAUGCUCAAAUGUGAACCGGCUGGCACCGUGACAGUGAAACUAAUACUUUUUGUUUUUCUAAUAAUAUUAAUUAUCAUAUUUAUUACUAUUGUAAGAAUAAUAUAUUGCAGCUUUAAAGAAAGACUCACCAUACUCCUUUUCGAGUCCUGUCAGUUUCCAGCAUUUGGUCAUUUUUUUAUUUCACCGCUUAAUCCACAGUAAAUAUAAAACAAUUUAAUCAACAAUAUUGAAAAAGAAAAAAAGUAGGACAAGAGAAAGGUAAAUACUGUUAAAUGAGUUGGGAAACGUUCAAAGCACGACGGGAAUUAAAAUUAUAAACUUUUAUAAAGGUUGGUAAGAAAAAACAUAUUUGUAUAUAUUUUUUUCAAUGAUUUAUGGACGCUAUACUUGAUGCUGAAAUGUGAACCGGCUGGCACCGGGACAGUGAAACUAAUGCUUUUUAUUUUUCUAAUAAUAUUAAUUAUCAUAUUUAUUACUAUUGUAAGAAUAAUAUAAUACAGCUUUUCCUUUAAGGAAGACCCGCCACACUAACUUUUGACGCUCUAUAAGUUUCCAGUAUUUUGUCAUUUUGUAUUGUAGUGCUUAAUCCACAAUGAAUAUAAAAGUUUAAAGCACCACAGGAUGAUGGAUGGAGUUUCACAUUACUGUUAAAUGACUUUGAAAGGUUUAAAGCACCACAGGAACCAACGUUUCACAAUGCCUUUUUCCCUUGUGAAAUAUUCAGUGCAGUCUCUCCCAGAUUUUGCUAGUGCAACAACGAGACGUCAUGCCGUUAACAAUUUUAAACUGUAAAUGACAUGUUGUUUUUACAAGACAUAUUAUGCGUCGAUACAUACCUUUUCUGGUUGUUGGUUUAUAAAAAUAUAUGAAACGGCAUGAGUGUGACAACUCUUGUAAAAUUUUUAAAAACAACAUAAUCAAUGGUAUUCUUAUCUCCCAGCUGCCGUUUGCCGUUUGGAAUUGUUCUGUAUAAGAUCUUGAUCAUCGAAUUUACCACUAGGGCGUAUGCUUUAUUUUCUCGAAUUACAUUGCUGCCUCAUCUUUUGUGUUUUCGGUUCUGUUGUGGAUCUCCUCUGUUUUUUUCUGAUUUUGGGCCCGAAGGGCACGUUAAUUGAAAUCAACAAAUCUGGUAAAAAUGACGUUAAAUUCGAUCAGAUUUACAUAUUUAAUUACAAAUGCAGUAACCCCGAUCAGAUGCAUACACUAAUUUUAUUUAUUUUGUCAGCUUUAACCUCACUGUCAUUUUGAAUAGCCUACAAGAGUCGAAUGACUAGAUUUCCAAUUUGCUAUCAUCCCCCUUGAAUGGGUUCAAGAAAUUCAGCAGGUUGCGAAACAAUAAGAUUCAUUCAAUCCGUGUAGAUAUCUAACUGACUGAAAUUAAAUAAAUGAUGAUGAUAAGAAAUUUGAAAUCAACAAAUCUCGGCACAUCUAUUCUGCAAUUUAGCCGUACUUCAAAUAAUCUUGCGAUAAAAAUUUCUUAAAAAUCUCAGAAAGAGGACAGAACAACCAAGGCAUCAGCGAAAGCAAUCGAUGUUAGGAAAUUGGUGGGUGCAGCAGUACCGCAACUAAAAUAAAAUUGGAAAUAAAAUAAAGAACAAGCACAAUAGAGGACACCAAAAAUUACGUGGUUCGGCUUUUAGCCUACAUCUACGGGCGAAGACAGAAGGAAAUAUUUUACUAGUGAAAUAAGGAUUACAAGUAUUGUAAGAUUUUAGCUCACUACCCAAAACCCCAAUACACCCAAUCUCUCACUCACUACACAUGCAAGAGUUUAUUAAACUCUUGAAAACUCUCAACACUCAAAGAAAGAAAAAUUUCUCUCAAUGGAAUUGAAUACAAAAUGAAAUGAGGAGCUCUGCCUUUUAUAGCCAAAAAAUGGCUAUUAAAUUAUUAUUUUUACCACCGUCUUCAUUCUGCUAUUUUCUUCUUUCUUCUUUUUUCUUCAUUCCAAAUUUGCUGCUGCCAAAUUCUUCAACAUUUUCUUUGGCCGGCUGUCAAAGCCAACUUUGCUUAUUCAAGGGUUCUAGAUGCAGUAGCUUCUAGAUGCAGCCAAAUUUGACAUUCUCCCACUUGGAGAUUAGAUUGAGAAUCAAUCAAUCUCCACAUCAUCCUUUCUGUUUCGCCAUAAUCAUGUUGCCUACGUUGCUGCUAGGCCACAAGAGGAUCUACUCCAGAUAAACUUGUCAGCAUUUAUUGGCUUGGUCAAAACAUCUGCUAGGUUCUCCUUCGUAUGGAUUUUCUGCAAAUCCACACUUCCAUCUUCCACUACUUCUCGAACGAAGUGAUACUGAACUCCUAUGUGCUUUGUCCUGGAAUGAAAGGCUAGAUUCCUUGCAAUGUGCAAGGCACUCUGACUGUCACAAAACACAAGAAUUUUCUGUUGUUUGUGCCCGAGCUCCUCCAAUAAUCUUUGUAUCCAAAUAGCUUCCUUGCAAGCUUGUGUAGCUGCCAUGUAUUCUGCUUCUGUUGUAGAUAAUGCCACAACGGUCUGCAGUUUCAAAACCCAGCUUACAGCUGCUCCCGCAAGUGCAAACACAUAACCAGUAGUGGAUUUCCUUUUAUCAAGGUCUCCUGCAAAAUCUGAAUACACAUAGCCCCUGACAGUAAACUCUGAUCCUCCAUAACAUAAUGCAACAUCUGAGGUUCCUCUGAUGUAUCUCAGAAUCAUCUUCACAGCUAUCCAAUGCUCUCCGCCAGGAUUCGCCAUGUAUCGACUGACUGCUCCCACUGCUUGUGCAAUGUCCGGUCUUGUACAUAUCAUAGCGAACAUUAAACUUCCCACUGCUGAUGCAUACGGUACUCGAGACAUCUCCUUCCUCUCUGCUUCAUUGCUAGGACACAUACUUGAGGAUAAUUUGAAAUUAACAGGAAAUGGGGUAGAAAUUGACUUACAAUCUUGCAUGUUGAAGCGCCGCAAGAUUUUCUUCAAGUAAUUCUUCUGUGAUAGCCAAAUCUUCCUGUUAUUUUUGUCUCGGUGAAUUUGCAUCCCUAGAAUCUUGUUUGCUGGUCCCAAGUCCUUCAUUUCAAACUCCCUAGCCAACUGUGCCUUCAAUUCUUGGAUUCGAUCUUUGUUGGGACCUGCUACCAACAUGUCAUCUACAUACAACAGCAAAAUGAUGAAAUCAUUAUCUUCAAACCUCUUGUAAUAUGCACAAUGGUCUGAACUGAGUCUGUUGUAUCCAAGGCUCAUGAUGAAGGAAUCAAAUCUCUUAUACCAACACCUCGGCGCCUGUUUGAGACCGUAUAGAGAUUUGUUCAACUUGCAAACCAAGUUCUCCUUUCCUGUUUCUGCAAAACCUUCUGGUUGGAGCAUAUAUAUUUCUUCUUCAAGUUCUCCAUGAAGAAAUGCAGUUUUCACAUCUAACUGCUCUAGAUGUAGGUCAAAUGUAGCACACAUUGCCAAGACUAUUCUGACUGUUGUGAGUCGAACCACGGGCGAAAAUAUCUCGUUGAAGUCAAUGCCUUCUUUCUGAGCAUAUCAUUUCACCACCAAUCUUGCACGAUACCGCUCCACUUGGUCAUUGCCAUCACGCUUGAUCUUGUAGACCCAUUUGUUUCCAAUGGCUUUUCUUCCAUGUGGUAGUGGUACAAGUUCCCAUGUCUUGUUCUUGUGUAGAGCUUCAAUUUCUUCCUGCAUUGCUGUCAUCCACAAAGCAACAUCUGAGCUGUUUAAAGCUUCAUGGAAAGUUGAAGGCUCUCCAUCCUCUGUUAAAAGACAGUAUGCAACGUUGAUCUCUGUGACAUACUCAGAGUGCCACACCGGCGGUCGUCUCUCACGAGUUGACCGACGAACUUCUGGAGCCUCGGACUCGACUGGUUCUUGUUCCUCGUGCUCUGGUGCUGCUUCAGAAGAAUCUGAAUCUUCUGGAUUAUUUUCUACAUAUACCGGCACAAUCUCUGACUUUUCUUUUACAGUGCCAUCAUCUCCAUCUUUCAUUUGCAGUUGAUCUUCUACAAAAAUAACAUCUCUGCUGAUGACGAUCUUGUGGGCAGUGGGGUCCCACAGACGAUACCCCUUUACUCCAUCAGCAUACCCCAAGAAGAUACAUCUUCUAGAUUUUGGAUCCAACUUUGUUCUUUCUUGGGCAUUGUACAUCACGUACACAGGACAUCCAAAUGCAUGUAGGUAGGAAUAAUCAGCUGGCUUUCCAGUCCACAUCUCCAUCGCCGUCUUCAACCCAAUCGCUGUAGAUGGUGAUCGAUUUACUAUAUAACAGGCAGUUUUGGCUGCUUCUGCCCAUAAUGAAUUGGGUAAACCAGCAGUCCUCAACAUAGCUCUUAUUCUUUCUGUAAGAGUUCUGUUCAUCCGCUCUGCCACUCCAUUUUGUUGAGGAGUGUACGCCACCGCGAACUGCCUCUGAAUACCUUCUUGCUUACAGAAAGCAAGAAACUCGCCCUCUGUAUAUUCUCCACCAUUAUCCGUCCUCAAGCACUUGAUCUUUUUACCAGAUUCAAGUUCCACACGCGCUUUGUAUUCUUUAAACACAGGAAAUACAUCUGACUUUUUCUUAAUUGGAUACACCCAACAUCUUCUAGAAUAAUCAUCAAUGAAAGUCACUAUGUACUUUGCACCUCCCAUGGAUAUAUCCGGUGAUUCCCAAACAUCAGAAUGAAUCAAGUCUAGAAUGCAUUUACUUCUAGCAAUAGAUCUACUGAAUUUUAAUCUAUGCUGCUUACUUAUAACACAAUGCUCGCAAAAUGGUCUGAAUUUUAAUCUAUGCUGCUUACUUAUAACACAAUGCUCGCAAAAUGGUAAACUUACCGAUUUGAGCCCCGGAAGCAAUUUUCGCUCAGAGAGAAUCUUCAAGCCUUGUUCUGACAUGUGACCAAGUUUGAGAUGCCACAUCAUCGUUGAUUCUUCUCCAUUUGACGCGACACACGUAUUAGCCUCCUGUAGUGUUUCUCCUCUAAGCAUGAAUAGAUUAGCACCGAUCUUUUCUGCUUUCAUCAAUACAAGCGCGCCUUUAACGAUCUUCAUAAUUCCAUUCUCCACAUGAGUUUUGUACCCAUGACUAUCCAUGUGUCCCAAAGACAAUAGAUUUUUCUUCAAGCCAUUGACAUGUCGUACCUCUCCAAUUGUGCGAAUUGUACCAUCAAACAUUUUUAUUUUGAUAGUACCAAUACCAGCGAUCUCCAAGGCAUGAUCAUCUCCCAUAUAUACAGAUCCUCCUGAGAUAGGUUCAUAUGUGUGGAACCAUUCUCUCCGAGAGGUCAUGUGCCAGGUAGCUCCUGAGUCUAUAAGCCAGACAUCAGACAAUCGUUUUCUGCCUUCUGAAACAGUUGUUGCCUCGCUGUAAAGAAUUUCGCCAUCAUCUGAGGUACUUGCUACACAACCCUGAGCAUUUGAUGACUCAGGUUCUUUUCCCUCUUUUCUCUUCUGGUUACUCCAACAUUCUUUCUUGAUGUGCCCUUUCUUGCCACAUUUGUAGCAUUUAACAUUAUUCUUACUCAUGGAUUUUGAUCUACCCUGAUUUUGACUCCCACUGGGGCCACGUUCCGUUGAUCUCCCUCUCGUCACCGAUAGCGCCUCCGCUUGCUGCGAACUUGCUUGUCUGUUUUCCUUAUUUUUCCACCUGCUCUCCUCAUUUAAUACGGAGGCUGCAACAUCGUCGAAAACUAGACUCUCCACUGGAUUGUUGUUCGUCAGGUUGAUGAUGAGUUGAUCAUACGAAUCUGGUAGACUUUGAAGUAGAAGCUCUGCACGUUCAUUUUCCUCUAUAUUAUGACCCAACAUUGUGAGUUGUGAAAAUAGAGUCUUCAAUGUGUUGAUGUGGUCGGUCACCAUUGUAGAUUCCGUCAUUCGAAGAGUAUAGAGUUUUCUCUUCAAGAAGAUUUUGUUGUGUAGUGACUUGGCCUCAUACAAUUUUGUGAGAGUAUCCCAUAUUUCCUUCGCCGUAUUUUUCUCUGCCACACUGGAUAAUACUCCAUCCGCAAGUGCCAAGUGUAGAUCAGAAAUGGCGUUGCCGUCUACCUCGUUCCACUUGUCAUCAGUUAUCUCCAUGGGCCUUUCUCCAAUUGCUGCCAAACAAUUAUUUUUCCUCAAUACAGCUUUCAUCUUCAUUUUCCACAAUGAAAAAUUAUUUCCGUUAAACUUCUCAAUUUCAUACUUUGCCGCCAUUUUGUUGAUAAAUACUGUACACAAGUUAGUGUACCACCUUGAAUAGUUGUGAGUAUGUGUGAUAAUGCACACCAGGAAAGUUCCCAGGAAAGACUGGAGGGGUCACAAUGGUCCCACUUAAAACCCAGACUCCUUAAGCUCUUAUCGCCUUUGUGACAGAACUUUCCUAGACAUGUACAAAACCACAGUUGUUUUUCUCACACUACUAUUCCCUGCUUUGCACCGGAAAAUUCUUGGAUCGCUUCCACCGUUUCACGUGAAUAGUACCGUAUACGUGAACAAUACCAUAUAUGUGAACAAACCCGUAUACGUGAACAACACAGUAUACGUGAAUAGUGUCGUAUACGUGUACAGUGCCGUAUACGUGAAUAGUACCCCUUACGUGAACAGUUCCCGACUCCAAAAAUACAACCAAUAGCUCUGAUACCACUGUUAGGAAAUUGGUGGGUGCAGCAGGACCGCAACUAAAAUAAAAUUGGAAAUAAAAUAAAGAACAAGCACAAUAGAGGACACCGAAAAUUACGUGGUUCGGCUUUUAGCCUACAUCCAUGGGCGAAGACAGAAGGAAAUAUUUUACUAGUGAAAUAAGGAUUACAAGUAUUGUAAGAUUUUAGCUCACUACCCAAAACCCCAAUACACCCAAUCUCUCACUCACUAGACAUGCAAGAGUUUAUUAAACUCUUGAAAACUCUCAACACUCAAAGAAAGAAAGAUUUCUCUCGAUGGAAUUGAAUACAAAAUGAAAUGAGGAGCUCUGCCUUUUAUAGCCAAAAAAUGGCUAUUAAAUUAUUAUUUUUACCACCGUCUUCAUUCUUCUAUUUUCUUCUUUCUUCUUUUUUCUUCAUUCCAAAUUUGCUGCUGCCAAAUUCUUCAACAUUUUCUUUGGCCGGCUGUCAAAGCCAACUUUGCUUAUUCAAGGGUUCUAGAUGCAGUAGCUUCUAGAUGCAGCCAAAUUUGACAAUCGAGGCAGGGCACGCUCAAGCCACGAAUUAGAGGAAUUUUAAAUAUCAAAACCAGCUCAGAAUAAUAAGAAGUAAAAUGAAACUAAAAAAGGCUCAGAUUUUUGGAUGAGUGAAGGGAAGAUGAGAAGAUGAAAUGCAGAAAGUCAAGAAAUGAAUAAACCAAUAUUAAUAAUCUUGGACCCACAUCUCUAAUUUGGAUUAAGCAUCCAUCUGCCUAUGUGGAUAAUAUUUUUGCUAAUUUUUCAGCCAUGCAGCAGGAUCAUGUUCGUCUUGUUUUAUUUGAUAGAAGGAAUUUUCCCUUGGAAGAAAAUGAUGAGUCGUUUCAACGUAAUGCAGCUACCUAGACUGCAUGGAAUUUCACCAGACAAUGACAAUUUAUUCUCAGAUAUAUCUAAAUCUAACGCCCCCACAUUUGUUUAGUCACCCAAAUUUGAAGGCGUCCGUUUUGAGACUGAUCAAAACUUUUUCCAAAAAUUCGGGAUUCAGGUCGAUCAGGCCGGUUAUGUUUUGAAAACUUGUAAAUUUUCAGUGAUCAAACUUCAAAACUUUGCAAAUAGGUCAAAAUAUGAAAAAUUCUUGAUAUAUUAUUGAAUACUCAUUUUGUUUUGCAUUAAUAUAAGGCUAUGGGUGCUAUCUAGUAAUGUUGGUAAAAUUUCUUGAGUUGAAAACAAUAAAACGAAAAUAGCUCUAAUAGAUCCACCCCUGUUUGAAACUCACUCAUAUGGAUGGGAAAGAAAUUUAGUUACCAUUGGAUUAAAAAAUAAUUAUUAUUAUUAGAAAAAAAAUUGUAAGGCUUCGACAAGAUUUGCUAAUCAUGUAUAGGUUAAAAUUUAUGUGGGUUUGGCCACCAAUUUAGCAUUAGGAACUUAUUGUUUAGGAAGCUAUGGUGGGUGUCGUAGUGGGACUUAUUCUCUUUAAUGCAUAUGGUGAUUUUAAACCAACAUUUAUAUAAUCCCAUUAUAAAACUCAUCAAACCUUCUAAAAUAACAUGUUGAGAUAGUGUGCUAGAAGUAUUUCUCCAACUUCUUAGCUUGAAGCGAUGUUCAUUUCCAUUGAUAGUUUAAUGGGCAAAGCCUUUUGAAUUCUCCAUGUUAUCAAGUUAAUUUUUGCUGGAAAAUGCAAUCCGGAUAUGAAUAGAAUUUUUUGUGCAAUCGAAUUUUCUAUGUUGACACAUCUUCUGGAACAUUCAAUAAAUUUUAUGGAGAAGUUUUAAUUUCUUAGUUGUUGAUUUCGAAUAUAUUAAGCUCUUAUUCAGUAUUAAAGUAUUGUGGCCUAAAAGAUAUAGUUCGUAUGGAAAGAAAUUUGUAAUUACAAAAUAAAAAUUGAUAAAGUGUGAUAAAUAUAAUUUCAAAAUAAAAAAUAAACUUAACUUCAAAAUUACAAUAGUAAUUAUAAAGUAUUUACUAAAUACAUUAGUGUUGCAGUAACUGCCCUACCACAAUGACAAAUAGGGGGCUAAUACUACAAAUUGUUCCAUUAAAAGUCACCCAAAAAGGAAGAAGUGACUUAAAAAAUUAAAAGAAUGCAGGAGCUGAAGUUGGCUAUUUUGUAAAUUGCAAUGGCAAUUGUGGCCUAGUAAAAUCCCUCAAUGAGUCACAGCACUAGCAAUUUCGUAAUAUACAUUAGUGGCAAUUUUGUAAAAUUGAAGUAAUGAUAGUUUUGCAAAUAAAAGUAAAAACUUUUUCCCUAAAUUCGGCUGAGCUAAAAACCAGCUUAGCCCACAGUCUCCUUCGCCACCGGUUGACGAGCUCUUCCUUCAAUUUUUGAACUUGAAGUGAUGCCCCAUCGAUGUCCAGAAUUUUUAAAGUCUCCCCAUUGUACAAGUUAAACAAUAAAGUCAGAAUGAUGAUCCUAAUGAUUCUUUUUAGAGAGUCACCUGUACGUUGAAGUGUUUAAUUGAUGUUUAUUUAAGCAGAAAUUGAAGUUUGAUCCUGAUUAAUUAGAUGAGAACACACAUUCAUGAGUAAAUACUUAAAAUUAAAUUAAUCAAAAUAGUAUAAAUACAGGAGAAAAUCGAUCAUAUGCGUACAGAAAUCACAAUCGAAUUAUAUAUAUCACCGCCGCACAGAAAUAACAAUUAAAUUGUAAUGUCAAUUGUCCACAUAAGAUUUUUUUUUUUUUUUUUUUUUUUUUUGUUGAUGAAAGUUAGUAAUUUUUUUCCAUCUUUUUAAAUAAUAGUUGUUAAUAAAUAUCAAGAAAAUAUUGGGACUGGAGAUCAGGGUCUACUUAAGUUAGAAGUGAGAGUAGUGCAGAUAUGUGGGGAUUAUAUGCAAGGUGGCUUAAAAGUAAAGGAGAUCUUACAAUGUGCUCUGAAGCCCUCUUAAAGCAAGUCAGAUCAUAUCAGGUUUCUCCAUAAAUCUCAUCAUCUUAUAAUAAGUUAGCAUUAUGUUUUACUUUGAUGUUGAUGGAAUUUGUUAAUGCUAAUCAAAUUUUGUUAAUCUCCCUCUCUUUUUUUUUUAAUUUAAAAGAAGGCAAAUAAAAAGCUUUGUGAUUUCAUUUUUGUUUUCUAAAUUUGUUAUCUAAAGGAAUGACAAGUUGAUAACUCAGCCUCUGUGUGUGUGUGUCUGUGUCAGGGAUCUGAUUUGUGGAAAGAUAGAGAUCGGUUUAAAAGGUUUUCAUAUGCAUCCUUGGAACUUUGUAAGGUUUACAUGGAAAUUUCUUCCUCUUCCGGUAGCCGUCGAGAGCUCUUUGCUGCUGAGAUGCACCUGAAGAACGUACUUAAACAAGUAAAACACCUUAUAAUUCGAUAUUUAAGACACUUACAGUUGGUUUAAAGAUUGUAUUUUCUGUUUCUGUUUUUGACUGGUUCAGGGUAAAACUUUUUCUCACUGUGUUAGAGUGCAUUUCUGUUAUUAUAUAGUUUCUUAGAAGAAAAUGCACUUUUUGGAAUCUCAGGCUAAAGGAUUUUCUGACAUGGAAGAGUUCAGGGAUCUUCAAGCUUGCCUUGAUGAAGUGAAGACAAAACUCCAAUCUGGUCCCGUGGCUACCUAAGUAUCAGGAAUGUGCUAUUUUUGAAAUUUAGUAACAAGGUUAAAUCUGCAACUAAAAAUUAUUUUAGUUUGUACUGUAGUGGAGACCUUAAGCAGGACUGAAUAUCUUGUAUUGUUGUAUCACCUUUUCUGUAACAAAACGGUCUAGUUUUACUAUUUUUAUUAUUUUUGUAUUUUCGGUGCUGUAACUAAUCUCAUUUGACAAUUUAAAUAUAUGGCUUCAAGUUCUUUAAAUGUAACAUCAAGUGUUGUUUCAACCUCUGUUCUUUUAUGUAUUUCUUGCAUGCGGUGAUUUCAUUAACCUCAAUUUAAGGACAAUUUCAUAUCUUUUUUCUUUCUGCUUUUCUUUUAUCAUUUAAAAACAACACACACACACACACACACAUUUAUAUUUCAGAAGAGGAAAUUGCACGGGAUAUGACUCAAUACUUGCUAAAUGCCAAGACUAUGACCCAAUUAUUUACAUGCCGAGACUAUGACCGAAUAACAAGUGAAAGUACACAAAUAUCCUUAUAAGUAACUAAGUUAAAAAUAUAAAACUUGAGUUAGGAAGUUUAGGAAUGCAUUGAACUUGUAUUCAUUACUUUGAUUAAUCCAUUUACCGUUAUACAAGACAAUAACACGUACCAUAUCCAUUUACAUAAAAAUUAUGAGUUGACAAAGUAAGAAUAUUAACAAAAAUAAGUUGUUAAAAGUUCUUGUAGACUUCUGUGCUUCAGUUCUAGACUUCUAGAUUUAUAGACUUACCUACAUGUCUAUAAGUCUAGAUGUAAAGAAGUCACGAAAACGAUAACAAUGAUAAACAAACUCAAUUCAACAACAAAUUUGAUGUGUAAAAAUUGUGUUGAAGAAUUUUUUGGAAUCUGUUUGAAUUUGUUAAGGGAAUGUGAUGAUUUUAGUAAGUGUUUGAUAACAACUUAGAAUGUUGGACGCAUUAUAGUGCUGGGUGCAUGCUUUUGUUGGAAAAGAUAAGGGCAUUUUAGACUAGGGAUCACCAAAAUGUCAUACAAAUUUAAUUGAGUAAAAUUUGUCAUAUUUAUAUAAAAUGUACAUGAUUUUGUCAUAUAUAAAUAAAAAACCCAUUUCAGAAAGCAUUUAAACAAAGCGAGAGUACAAUAAAAAACCCAUUUUAGAAAGCAUUUAAACAAAGCCAGAGUACAAUAUAGAAAGAUUUUACUCAUUCUAAGUGUGUACCAAACAAAGAAAUGAACUCUCCUUUUCUAGUUAUAUAAUUAUUACAUGAAAUUAAUAAAAACAUGACGAAUUAUAAUUCCUUGCGAUAUAGUGGGGGUUAUAGAAAAGUCAAGAGUUGCUAGUGGAAGAUAAUAGGGAGAGUACAAUAUAUAUAUUAUGAACAUUCACAUUUAUUUUAAUAAAUUCAUAGCAUUUUUUUUGCUUAAAUAACAGGGUGUAUGUAUAUAUAUAUUGACAUAAAAAUUGCAUGACGUGUGGUUUAGCGUUUCUUGGUUGUUCAGUGCUAGUUUUAUGUCAAUUUUUAUUGACAUAAAAAUUGCAUGACACAAAAAAGGCUGUUUUAACCAACUAAAAACCAAAAGCUAAAACCCAAAACCCCCCUCUUUUUCGUUUUCCAGGGACUUCACCUUGAUAUUCAACCAACACUUCUGAUGUCUGCCCUUCAAUAAACCAAGUCAUUCAUACACAUGAUUCUACUAUUGGUGAUGCCUCUGAUGUUUUUGUGACCCCAAAAUUAUUGGGGAAUAGUCAUGAAUCUGAAUCUGGAGUCCAAUGCAUUCACGCUGGUGGCUCAGCAGCCCAUUUAAAGGCAAUCCAACAGGCAGUGAUCUUGUCGAGGUGCCUUCUAAUAGAAAAGAGCUCAUGGCAAGAUGAAAUGCAAAGUAAGUUGUUUUAUGGUUGGCCGGUGUGUAGUCAUCUCGUUAAAGGCCAUAAGAUGUUUAGCAUAUUGCUAUUUAAUUUUUAAAUCAUUCUCAGUAAUAAUUCCUUUAGUAGAUUGAUGAUAAGAGAUUGCAUUACAGAUGAUAACGGAGCACAAUUUUUGUAGUUGUAUCCCUGUACAUCCAUCUUAAUAUCCUCAUUAUAUUCACAUGCCUUUUACGGGUGUUAUUUCUGGAUGCCGAAUGCUUUGCUCCACGUCUGGAUACCAAAUGCUUUGUUCCACAAAGCUGAGCUGGUUGAAAAGCUAGCUGAUGAGGUCAACACGUCCCUUAAGUAAUUUGAGGAUGAACACUGUGUUCCCGAAAGUCUUACUCUAAUGAUACUUAAAGAAGCAAUGAGAAUGGAUGUUGCAGCAGCUUUGCUGAACUCAACUCCAGUUCCAAAAAUGGAACAUGUGAAAACCGAAAAUGCAUUGUUUUUUUUUUUUUCCUCUUUAUGACUUCUCUAGUUGGGGAAUGUAUUAGAUAUUCACCUAAUCAGUAGGCCUUGAAGGGAUCCCAUGUUAGCCCCUUGAUGUUGGUCUGUAACUAAGUAAAUACUUGACCUUGAAAAAGCUUUUGGAGGCAUCAGUUUCUCUCUGACUGGUGCUACUUUUUGGAUCUGUUGAUUUGGUCAUUUGCUGAUUUAUAGUUUGUUUUCUGAUUCAGGAUGGGAUAUGGCUCCAUACAUAGAGGCAACUGAUUCACAGCAGUCGUCAUGCUUCAUUGUAAAUAUAUAUACAAUACAGCAUCAGUUUUUCUUGAUUUUAAAUCUCAUAUUCUGAAGUGGUACUUCUGAUUCUCACAUGAUUUUUCCAUCUUUCAGCUAAAGUUUUUCUGUGAUCUCUUACGUAUUAGAUGGGAAUCCACCCGCAGUCGCACAAAAGGGCGUGCUUUAGAGAUGAUGGACAAACUGGUAUGAUCUGUGAGCCUUUUCUUCUUAAAUAUUUUGUUACCUAAACCAUUUUCAUUCAAAUUGACAAGUGUUGCUUAUCAAUCUAUAGAAGAUUCCAAACUUUCUGCAGCUAGUACUUUAUUGGACCCAAAAGCUUUUUUGCUUUUUCUAAGCUGCUAAUCAGGACUAGGUUUCUCUCCCUUAUAUCGCUAGAUAUCCCAUUAAUCGUUUGAUUUAGUUGUCUAGAGAGAUUAGGUACUUGCAUCUUCGCUUUUCACUUCACAAGUGAUUUCAUGUGCUAUCCUGUAUUCUGGUUCAAGAUUUUUGAAGGUUGCUUACCAUCAUAUUUUGCUUUGUUUCAGGUUGAGGGCAUUUCUAAUUCUUCUCCCGGUGUGACUCAAAGGAUUCCCUUUUGUUAUGUGAUUUAAGUUCCAACUAUUCCUACCCUGCGAAAGUAAUACUAUUUCUUUUGCUUCUUUGAAUGAUUGUGAUUUAAUUUUCUUGUCAUUUUGCCAACUAUCAUUAUGCUGUCAUUGUUUCAUAUCUUAUUUGACAUAUGUUGAUUUGGUUAGAGUUUAAUUGCUCUGUUUAUUCUCUUUAUAAUCUGUCUAUUUCGAUUUUUCUUGAUUUUAGGGAAUAUGCUGAACUUUUAGUAAGCUGUGGCUUGAUUGGAGAGGCUAUUAAAAUUUUUGAGGAUCUGGAGUUGUGGGAUAAUCUAAUAUACUGCAACUGGUAUGAUGUCAUAGAUAACCAUUAUCCUAAUCUCUCUGUCUGUCUGUCUGUCUCUAUCUCUCUCUUUCGUGUUGCUAAUGGGAGUUGGUUUUUUGUAUGAUGUAAAAAACAGCCUAUUGGGGAAGAAAGCAGCAGCUGUUGAACUAAUAAAAGCAAGGCUGUCUGAAAAGCCUAGUGACCCUAGAUUAUGGUUGGUUAAUGAGCCUUUUCUAUGAUCCAUUUUAUAGUUACUUCUCAUUUCAGUUAAAUCCAUUGUUGAUGUCACUUAUUGCAAUCUAGGGAUAAUUGUUCAUUGGUUGUAAGGAUAUUGUCAGAAGAAAAUGAAACCUUUUAAUUUUGUCUUUUACUUGCUGUAGCCGAUUUAAAAGCUCACUGUGCGUUCUUACUGAUUGCUUUUGGUCUUGCAUUUGAGUCAAUGGAUUUUAUACUCAUAUUCUGACAUUUAUUGUUAGUCUUCUGACGGUUCUGCACCUUGGUCCUAUAUUAUCUUCAGCAGUAUUAUCUAAAAGAUAAGUUUUUGCCGAAGAAAAUUUGCAUUCUAAACUAGAAAAUGAGGGGCCGGGGGGAGGGGGGGGGGGGGGUAGGUUGGGAGGCAACGGGAGACUGUUUUCCACUUAUCCUCUUCCCUGCCUGCAUUUUAGAUGAUUUUGAUGCACCAGGUGCCGUGAAAUGGUUGAGAAAUACAUACCAUCAAGUGAAUUCUGAAAAUCAUUUCCUUUUUGAAAAUAUUUGGUGCUAGACAUUUGAAUAUAUGGCCACAAUUUAAACAAUAAAGAUUUUCUGCAUUGAUUUCUUAUAAUGGAUAGAUGCAUGUAAGUAAAAUAUGAUAUCUUUUGAUUAUUGGCCCAUUUGUUCAGAAAGAAGGAAAAAAAAAAAAAUACAUGGUUGAAAGACAACUGUUACUUGACCUUAUGAUACAUUUUGUAGGUGUUCAUUAGGUGAUGUUACAAAUAAUGAUGCCUGCUAUGAAAAAGCUUUGGAAGUUUCGAAUGAUAAGUCAGCUCGAGCUACGGUGAUAUUGUAGUUCACAUUAUGCUUGUGCCGUGAUCAUUUUUUAGUUAACAUAUCUUUAUGUGAAUCAGAGGUCUCUAGCUCGUAGUGCAUACAACAGAGGGGAGUACGAGACAUCUAAAAUCCUUUGGUAUGUUGCUUUAAUGCUUUACUUCUCUUUCUGCCACACAGUAAUUUGCUGCAUUGACAACUGAUACGGCUGAAUGACAAUUUACCCUUGGUUUUGUCUCGGGGAGGCUGCCAUGGCCUUGAAUUCUUUGUAUCCGGAUGGCUGGUUUGCUCUUGGUGCUGCUGCAUUGAAGGUAUCAUAUUUUUGUAUUAGUAUGUGUUUAGUGUGAAGCAAUUUCUUAUCCUUUUGCCCCAAGUUUCUGAAACUCUCGGCUGAAAUAUAAAUACAGGCUCGGGAUGUUGAAAAGGCUCUGGAUGGGUUUACUCGGGCUGUUCAACUUGAUCCAGACAAUGGGGAAGCUUGGAACAAUAUUGCUUGCUUGUAUGCUCUUUUCUUUGUCAUCAUGUCAUUCCAUCCUCUUGCUCUGUAUUCUUUAAUAUUGUGUCAAUCACAUUCAUCUUCUAUCUGCAAGAGUAUGCUUCCCAUAUUUGGUUUACUUUGUUUUGACUUUCUUGUUGCAGUUGUUCUAUAUAAAUUUUAUAUGGUUCCAUAUUCCCUUGAUGAGUGAAUUUAGUUGCUGCAAAUGUUAAGAACUAGAUAGUACUGUUAUAAUUAGGAAUAGGGCAAAUAUUAGCCAGCUCUUUUGAGGAUUAUCCAUAGCAUAUACCUCCGUCGUUUUCAAAGCGAUUGAAGUUCUCCCUUUUGUCUUAUUUAAAAGAAAAAAGCACAAAUUGCUUCCCUCACAUCUAUCUACAGUCUCUUUUCUCUCUGUUUAAUUUUUUCUUGUGCUUAUUAUUUGUCUUUUAAUGCAUCUUUUCUUCUUAUUUUAUACUGUACUAGAAUUUGUGCUGUCUCGAUUUUAUCUUGCAUGUGAGUUACUGUGUUUUUCGCAAUUGUAGAACUUUAUUUAGCAGCAUAAUUAUUAGUUAGUGAGACAUUAAUUGGUUAAUACCACUUGUGAAGAUACGAAGAGCUACUUAUUCUCUCUUCUAGUACAUUUAAAAAAUUCAUGACAAAAUAUCUGGGAUGGUAAAAUUCUCGUCAAUUAUAACUACGGAAGUCUUGAGAUUUAUGUAGUCUUGCAGGCAUAUGAUCAAGAAGAAGAGCAAAGAGGCUUUUACAGCAUUCAAGGAGUCCCUAAAGUUGAAGUUCUGUCUUUUUUCCCCCUGAUCACUACAUUUUUAUUUUCUGUCAUGCACAAUGCAGUCGGACACUAUCUGAUCACAAGAAAACUGUCAUACAUAAUUUGUUGCUGCUAGGCAAAAGGUGAUAUCUAAUGUAAUAACCUAUAACAUGAUUUUGUAACAGACGGAACAGUUGGCAAUUGUGGGAAAACUACAGCCAUGUUGCUUUGGAUGUGGACAAUAUUGGUCAGGUAACCGCGGUUGUGCGCUUAAUGUCCAUCAUUUAUCACUGAAAUCUUUUGAGAUGAAGCUGGCAUUUCCUUAGCCACCCUCUGAUGGUUUUGAUUGCUUCAUGUAUGUUGUCAUCUUUGUCAACUAAUGAAAGCUGCAGAGAUUUUGUCAUCUUUUCAUUUAAAAGAAUUUGAUAGUUUAUAGCCCAUUGUCAUGUUUGCAUAUGUAUGUUAUUGUUCUUUUGACCUUUUUGUACCUCAGCUUCAUCCUUUUAUGCAAGCAAUUCUUUGUCAAGAAAUAUCUGGUUAACAAUUUCUUCGCAUGAAUAUUUUUACGGUCAUCAAGGUCCUUGAACAGUCAUGGUUAAUUGAUUACAGAUUCUCAAAUUUAUAAUUAUUUUUUUCAGGGUCAUUGUCCUUUGAUAUAUGCAAUUGAUGCAUGACUUUCUAACCAUUAUCUCCCUGCCUUCACCAUGGUCGUAUAAAUAUUUUGACAAGUGGGGAUUUUAUGAUUACUGUGUGCUAGGAAUUUUUUUGGUUGGAAAGAAAUGGGAGGAUUUUUCAAGAAGCUAGGGAGGGAAGACACCAAAUUUUUUUUGGUGGAUAAAGCCUGCUGUCACUUUGGGCAUCAAUUUCUAAUGAAUGCAAUAAUGUUCCUUUCUUUGCUAUUCAUUAAAAUUGAGUUGUUCUUCUUGGAUGGCCUUCUUUUUACUUCCCAUCAUUUUGCCAGCUUGUUGAUUGUCAUUUUUGCUUGUUGGCAGUCUUUUCCUGCAGUGUUGAUAAUAUUUAAUUAUAAUAUUAGACAACAGUGUCCUCAACAUGAUCUCUCUCCCAAAUUAUUACUCUUUUAUUCAUUAUACUUUUAGCAGUUUCUUUAUUUUUGUUAUAUUUUAUGUUUUCAGGCUCUAGAGGCUGUGCAGAUGGUGUUGAACAUGACUAAUAAUAAACGAAUUGAUACUGUAUUAUUAGAAAGAAUAGUGCUAGAUAUGGAAGGAAGGACUUCAAUUAUAGAAUCUGAGUCUUGCAGGACUACCCAUAAUCUUAACAGAACUAAUAACACUUGUGCAAAAGAUUAACCUGUAGAAUCUGUCCAUGUAUCAUCACCUGAGGAGUCAAUCAUGGGAAGAUCGCGAGAAAAUGAGCACUUGAUGGAGUUUCUUGGGAAAAUUCUUCAGCAGGUUGCACAUGGCUCCAUGAUCAUCUUUUUUCUGUCUUUUAAUACUGAGCCAAGGGACAGUCUCUCUCUUUCACGCAUAUCCACAACACAUGUACAUAUUUCUCAUAUUUCUAUGCGUAUAUAUUGUCAUUUCUGAUCUUUCUUAGUUUAUAUGAUAAUUGUCUUUGGGCAUAUGAUUCAUAUUUUCUGGGCACCCUAUGGUCUGUGGGUCAAUAAUAAUCCAUAGUAUCUGAAUUUCUAGACAAAAUUGGUCAUUUUAGCAAAUCAUUUGGAUGUAUCUAUGCAGCAGUUUACUAUUUUAGUGCUUGCAGGAAUUGGUAUGCUUAAAUUUUGGGCUUAAAUUGUGUGAAAAUAAUCAAAGUGAUAUGCAAAUUAAUUCAAGCCACAUGAGGAAAGAAUAUCCUUUUUUUUUUUUUUCAGCUUAUGUUACAUGUUUCUGUGUAUGGCAUAGGUAGUUCGAAGUGAGAGUAGUGCAGAUAUGUGGGGAUUAUAUGCAAGGUGGCUUAAAAAUAAAGGAGAUCUUACAAUGUGCUCUGAAGCCCUCUUAAAGCAAGUCAGAUCAUAUCAGGUUUCUCCAUAAACCUCAUCAUCUUAUAAUAAGUUAGCAUUAUGUUUUACUUUGAUGUUGAUGGAAUUUGUUAAUGCUAAUAAAAUUUUGUUAAUCUCUCUCUCUCUUUCUUUUUUAAAGAAGGCAAAGAAAAAGCUUUGUGAUUUCAUUUUUGUUUUCUAAAUUUGUUAUCUAAAGGAAUGACAAGUUUACAAUUCAGCCUCUGUGUGUGUGUGUGUGUGUGUGUGUGUGUGUGUGUGUGUCUGUGUCAGGGAUCUGAUUUGUGGAAAGAUAGAGAUCGGUUUAAAAGGUUUUCAUAUGCAUCCUUGGAACUUUGUAAGGUUUACAUGGAAAUUUCUUCCUCUUCUGGUAGCCGUCGAGAACUCUUUACUGCUGAGAUGCACCUGAAGAACGUACUUAAACAAGUAAAACACCUUAUAAUUCGAUAUUUAAGACACUUACAGUUGGUUUAAAGAUUGCAUUUUCCAUUUCUUUUUUUGACUGGUUCAGGGUAAAACUUUUUCUCACUGUGUUAGAGUGCAUUUCUGUUAUUAUAUAGUUUCUUAGAAGAAAAUGCACUUUUUGGAAUCUCAGGCUGAAGGAUUUUCUGACAUGGAAGAGUUCAGGGAUCUUCACGCUUGCCUUGAUGAACUGAAGACAAAACUCCAAUCUGGUCCCGUGGCUACCUAAGUAUCAGGAAUGUGCUAUUUUUGAAAUUUAGUAACAAGGUUAAAUCUGCAACAAAAAAUUAUUUUAGUUCGUACUGUAGUGGAGACCUUAAGCAUGACUGAGUAUCUUGUAUUGUUGUAUCACCUUUUCUGUAACAAAACAGUCUAGUUUUAUUAUUUUUGUAUUUUCGGUGCUGUAACUAAUCUCAUUUGCCAAUGUAAAUAUAUGGCUUCAAGUUCUUUAAAUGUAACAUCAAAUGUUGUUUUCAACCUCUGUUCUUUUAUGUAUUGCUUACAUGCCGUGAUUUC
rnacentral:lncRNA from 1 species